GAGAAACAGUGAUCCACGUCAUUGAAUCAGGAAAACGCUACUUCGUUUGUGGCAGAAUGGGCCAUUGCCAACAAGGCCUGAAACUCAAAGUCAAAGUUCAAGCUCAGUCCAACAACACCUCCACCUAUUUCUCCACCAUGCCCUCAUUCUCCUCCUAGUCCACCUGAUGAUAAUGGCUCAACCAAAUGUAGAAGUGAAGUUGCUAGUCCUCCUCCGAAGUUAGUUUGAGCAAUGAAAAGCUUAGUCCAUCAUGGCAAUGCGUAAGCUCAGGGGCCUUGUUUUUUAAUUCUCCUUUGAUUUUUUAUGAUUUCAAAAAGAAAAGACCACUCUCAUUCAAGACUUCGUUUGGAUUCUCCAUUUCCACUCUUGCAACACCAGAGUAUUUUGGUCACAAAAUUUCUUUCAUUAUAAGCUCAGCAAUAGCUUCUAGAGAUGGUCCGUUUGCGUACCCUAAGAAUUUCUUUGGAGUGUCAAUUGAUACCAAUCUGGAUCCAUUUGGUACACCAACUGAAUUGUACAUUCGACUCUAACAACAGUUCCUUCGCUUUAGCUUUUGCAAAAUUUAUCAAAAAUAUACGUAGCGGUGCGGAGUAUACAUGUUCGGUAGAAUUUGAAGCUAUAACAGAAAUCAUGAUGGUUUAUCUUGGCAUAGGAUUUAUCAAACCAGUUGAGCCCUUGUUAGUAACUAGAGGUGAAGCAGUUGAUUCAUACUUAAGUUCAAAUAAUGGUAUCCAUUUUGUCGGAUUGACUAGUUCAUCAAAUGGAUGUUGUAAAAGUCCGAUUUUCAAUAGAUUUAUUUUUAAUUCUUUUAUUAUGUGUUUAUUUGUGCUUAUGUAUGAUCAUUCAUCAUUGGGUGCAUUUUUAUGGGUUUCCGUGUUAGAAGGAUAAUUUAGUCAUUUUGGACUCAGGGGUAUUUUGGUCAUUUUGAGUGUAAGAGUAAAUUAGUAACUUUUAGGAGAAUUACUUUUAGUGGUUAGUGAGAACCGAUAUUUUUGCUAAGUUACUAUCGUAGUGGUUGUUAGAAUUUUACCGUUAAGUGACCGUUAUUAGUAAUUUACCGUUGAGUGUGUAGAAACAUUUUAUAAUUAAGUUGAAGUGGGUUAAGUCCACUAAGGUUUAGGGUUAAGCCCAUUAAUAGAAUAGACUAUAUAAGGGUUGUCUUAAGAGAAAAUAUCGCAAAAUUUUUCACUACAAAGAUAUUUUGAGAGAGAUAGAGGGAGAAAGUGGGAGCAAAGAGGAACAAGGGUUAGAGAGAAAAGGAACUUGAAGAUUCAAGAAGAGGAGAGAAUCUAGGAGCUAAAGUGAAGCUUGAGCUAGGGAAUUAAUCUAACUAAGGUAAGGGGGUUAGAAUUCAUCAUAAUCAUUUUAGUGUAAAUUUUCAAUUAUUGUAUGAAUAAGUGCUUAAUUGAGGAAUUGACUAAUUGUUCAUAAUCGUUAGAAUUUGUGCUCCAAUUAUGAUGUUAUGUAUGAAUGCAUGAAGUUGUUGAUAAUUGAAUGGUUGUUAAAUAAAUUUCAUGUUCAAAGUAUGAGAAAGUGGUAUAUGUUGAAAUAUGCUCAAAUUGUGAAUUAUGCUAUGUUGAUGUUGGAUUAUGCUGAGAUUCAUGUGCAAUUGAUGUAGAUGUUGUUAAAUGAUGAUGUUAUUUAUAAUUCAUGGCUUGAGCGUGCAUGAUUAACGAAUUGUUGAUGAGAUGGAUGGGUAGACGCUGUGCAGGAUUAGUUGCUCUGAUGAGUUGAUUGUUGCUUGGUGGAUAUCGGGAACUAUCUCCAGUAUCGGUGUUUGUAGAUUCUAGGAUGGCUCUGAUCUAGGCGUCUAUUUAUGUUUAUAUGUUUCGAUUUAUUCAUGUUGGAGAUUUACCCAUUGUUGGGAUUUGAAGAUUCAUCUAUGUUGAUGUAUUAUUUAAUUCAUGACAUGUAUGCUUCAAAGUAUUCUGGUUUAUAUCCGCUGCGACUGUAGAGAUUUUUAUGCAUGCAUGUUGAAUUUGAAUUUUGUAUGAUGACGUAGCAUCUAUUUCUUGAAUAAAGGUAUUAUUCGCAUGUUUUAUUGCUUAUAUAGAAAUAGGGUGUUACAAGUUGGUAUCAGAGCCGUGGUCAGUCUUGUCUGAACUAAUACUCGUUACAUUUUCCUGUUGUGUACGAAUGGUAACAUAGUACCUUCGGCAUUUGGUUUGUUGUGUUGUUAUUCUUAUCGAUUAGUUGGUUUGUGUGUGCUGAGAUGGCAGGUGGCAGGGAGGAUGCUACAAUUGCACAAGCCUUAGCGGCGAUGGCUCAGGUGUUGGUUCAGUCGAAUGAGAAUGCGGUGGCUAGUCGUCGAAACGAGGGGGAAGCUGAGGAGCGGAGGCUCGAUCGGUUCUUGCGGAACAAUCUGCCGACGAUCAAAGGGAGGUUCGACCUAGAGGGAGCUCAGACUUGGGUGCAGGGCAUGGAGCGGAUAUUUCGUGCUAUGGUGACGGGAGAUGACCAAAAGGCCAGAUUGGCGACUCAUAUGCUUGCUGAGGAGGCUGAGUACUGGUGGACUAAUGUCAAAGGAAGAUUUGAGAUGGGAGGAGAAGUUGUGACCUGGGCGAAGUUCAAAGCAGAAUUCUUAAGGAAGUAUUUCCCUGAAGAUUUGAGAACUAGGAAGGAGGUGGAAUUUCUGAACCUGAAGCAGGGAAGCAUGUCUGUAGCCGAGUAUGAGGCGAAGUUUGAGGAGCUUUCGAAGUUUUGUCCGUACAUCAAUGCUGAAGAUGCUAUGGUUUCGAAGUGUGUGAAGUUUGAAAGUGGGCUUAGGCCGGAUAUCUAUCAGUAUAUGUGUGUUCAGGAGAUCCGAGACUUUGAUACUUUGGUGCAUAAGUGUUGCAUGUUUGUUGAUGCUGGGAGAGUUAAUGCUAAUUACUACAAGGCUCAGAAUAAGAAGAGAGAAAAAGGCCAUGGAGUUGGGAAACCGUACAACAAGGACAAGGGGAAGAAGAGAGAAGCUGGUGGGGGCUCUAAGCCAAAUUUAGCGGAUGUCAAGUGCUACAAGUGUGGAACUAUAGGUCAUUAUGCCAAUGAUUGUAAGAAGGACAUUAGUUGUCAUAAGUGUGGGAAAGCGGGUCACAAGGCUUUUGAAUGUAAGGGUGUUGCGAAGGAUGUUACUUGAUACAAUUGUGGAGAGAAGGGUUAUAUUAGUACUAAGUGUAUCAAGUCGAAGAAGGCGGCGGGAACAGUGUUUGCUUUGAAUACGGAGGAUGUUGAGUUCUGCUUACCAUCCUCAGACUGAUGGGCAAACAGAGAGGACUAUUCAGAAUUUGGAAGAUUUGUUCAGAGCUUGUGUUUUGGAGCAAGGUGUUAUUUGGGACGAAUGUUUACCGUUGAUUGAGUUUACUUACAAUAACAGUUUUCAUUCUAAUAUCGGUAUGGCACUGUUUGAGGCUUUGUAUGGUCGGAGGUGUAGGACACCGUUGUGUUGGUUUGAAUCCGGAGAAAGCGCAUUGUUAGGACCGGGAGUUGUGCAAGAAACUACGGAAAAGGUUAAGAUGAUCCAAGAAAAGAUGAAAGCGUCUCAGAGUAGACCGAAGAGUUAUCAUGAUAAGAGGAGAAAGGAUAUUGAGUUUCAGGUUGGUGAUCAUAUGUUCUUGUGAGUGAAUCCUGUAACUGGUGUUGGUCGUGCUUUGAAGUGUCGGAAGUUGACUCCUUUAGUCGUUUUGUUGUUUUGUCAGGGGUAUUUAGUCGUUUUGUUGUUUUGUCAGGGGUAUUUAGUCGUUUUGUUAGACCGUUUGAUGUUGUUGAGAAGGUUGGGGUUGUAGCGUAUCGCAUUGCGUUGCCACCAUAUUUGUCGAAUCUUCAUGAUGUGUUUCAUGUCUCAGUUGAGGAAGUAUGUGUAUGAUGCGUCUCAUGCGAUUCAAGUGGAUGAGUUGGAAGUAAGAGAUAAUAUGAUCGUUGAGACUUGGCUGGUUAGGAUUGAGGACCGUGAAGUGAAGCGUUUGCGUGGCAAGGAGAUUUUUUUUGUCAAAGUGAUUUGGGUUGGACCGACUGGUGAGAGUGCCACUUGAGAAUCGGAGAGUAGGAUGAAGGUUUUGUGUCCGGAGUUGUUUCCUUCAGGUAAUUUUCGAGGGCGGAAAUUCUUUUUAGAGGGAGAAUUACUUUUAGUGGUUAGUGAGAACCGAUCUUUUUGCUAAGUUACUAUCGUAGUGACUAGUUGUUAGAAUUUUACCAUUAAGUGACUGUUAUUAGUAAUUUACUGUUGAGUGUGUAGAAACAUUUUAGAAUUGAGUUGAAGUGGGUUAAGUCCACUAAGGUUCAGGGUUAAGCUCAUUAAUAGAAUAGACUAUAUAAGGGUUGUCUUAAGAGAAAAUAUCACACAAAUUUCUCACAUAGUGUCCAAAUUUCUCACAUUUGAAACACUGAAUUUCUCACAUUUGAAACACUGAAUUUUCUUCUUAUCAAUUUUCUUUCUUUGAUUAGAAUUUUCCUCCUUUGAAGAUUCACUUUUUUCAAAUCCAUUGUUCUUGCCUUUAGACCAGUUUCCUCCCUUAGAGUUUUUCUUCCCUUUCUUGAAGUUCUUCCUAUCAUUAUCAUCCUUCUUGGUAGUUUGAACUUGUAGGGCUUGUUGAGUUGAUUUUUCACUGUUUCUUUCAGUUACCAUCAAUUCAUGUGCUUCUAAUGAACUCUUCAAUUCCUCAAUCUUCAAUGUCUUCACAUCCUUUGAUUCCUGAAUUGCUACCACAAUGAAAUCAAACCUUGAAGAUAGAGUCCUCAUAAUCUUUUCAACUAUUUGUUUAGAUAUGUAUUCAGAAAUCUUCUGAUCAUCUCCUGUAACCCCAAUAUAAAAAUUUCUUAAAACAUUUAUCAGAGUAAGCAUCAUAAACAACGAGAUAUCACAUAUAACAUAAUCCAAAACAGUUAAAUAAUAAUUUAACCAGAUAACUUAAACAUUGCAGCGGAAAUUAUAUCAUAAUCCAUAAAACGUUCUGGCACGCAGGCCCCAUCAAAAUAUUUCAGAAGUUAAUCAACAUUAUAAAAAUAACAUAAAUGUUUCACGUAAGAGAAUGAAGCAUGCAUAACAGACAACCCCAUCCCGUUACGUAUCAGAGCGACCUAGACGACGCAGUGAAGGCAAGGCCACUCACGACGGAAACUGCACACUAAGCACGAUCACCUGCAAGUUACNNNNNNNNNNNNNNNNNNNNNNNNNNNNNNNNNNNNNNNNNNNNNNNNNNNNNNNNNNNNNNNNNNNNNNNNNNNNNNNNNNNNNNNNNNNNNNNNNNNNNNNNNNNNNNNNNNNNNNNNNNNNNNNNNNNNNNNNNNNNNNNNNNNNNNNNNNNNNNNNNNNNNNNNNNNNNNNNNNNNNNNNNNNNNNNNNNNNNNNNNNNNNNNNNNNNNNNNNNNNNNNNNNNNNNNNNNNNNNNNNNNNNNNNNNNNNNNNNNNNNNNNNNNNNNNNNNNNNNNNNNNNNNNNNNNNNNNNNNNNNNNNNNNNNNNNNNNNNNNNNNNNNNNNNNNNNNNNNNNNNNNNNNNNNNNNNNNNNNNNNNNNNNNNNNNNNNNNNNNNNNNNNNNNNNNNNNNNNNNNNNNNNNNNNNNNNNNNNNNNNNNNNNNNNNNNNNNNNNNNNNNNNNNNNNNNNNNNNNNNNNNNNNNNNNNNNNNNNNNNNNNNNNNNNNNNNNNNNNNNNNNNNNNNNNNNNNNNNNNNNNNNNNNNNNNNNNNNNNNNNNNNNNNNNNNNNNNNNNNNNNNNNNNNNNNNNNNNNNNNNNNNNNNNNNNNNNNNNNNNNNNNNNNNNNNNNNNNNNNNNNNNNNNNNNNNNNNNNNNNNNNNNNNNNNNNNNNNNNNNNNNNNNNNNNNNNNNNNNNNNNNNNNNNNNNNNNNNNNNNNNNNNNNNNNNNNNNNNNNNNNNNNNNNNNNNNNNNNNNNNNNNNNNNNNNNNNNNNNNNNNNNNNNNNNNNNNNNNNNNNNNNNNNNNNNNNNNNNNNNNNNNNNNNNNNNNNNNNNNNNNNNNNNNNNNNNNNNNNNNNNNNNNNNNNNNNNNNNNNNNNNNNNNNNNNNNNNNNNNNNNNNNNNNNNNNNNNNNNNNNNNNNNNNNNNNNNNNNNNNNNNNNNNNNNNNNNNNNNNNNNNNNNNNNNNNNNNNNNNNNNNNNNNNNNNNNNNNNNNNNNNNNNNNNNNNNNNNNNNNNNNNNNNNNNNNNNNNNNNNNNNNNNNNNNNNNNNNNNNNNNNNNNNNNNNNNNNNNNNNNNNNNNNNNNNNNNNNNNNNNNNNNNNNNNNNNNNNNNNNNNNNNNNNNNNNNNNNNNNNNNNNNNNNNNNNNNNNNNNNNNNNNNNNNNNNNNNNNNNNNNNNNNNNNNNNNNNNNNNNNNNNNNNNNNNNNNNNNNNNNNNNNNNNNNNNNNNNNNNNNNNNNNNNNNNNNNNNNNNNNUUGUCAAUUAAUCAUCAGAAUUACAACAACUAACAUUAUUGAAUUAUUAGUCUCACCCUUACCUUAAUGUGUAGAAAUCGCAGCCCUCCAAGGUCUCUCUUGCUAUUCUCUUGGUUUUCUCCUUUUUUCUCCAAAAACGUACGUACAACAAUGUUUUUUCUAAAACUAGGUCUAUCUCUUUUAUAUCUCCUCUUAAUUACUUAUCUUAUCUCACUUUCUCCCCCAAAACUAUCUAAAAUAUCAAAACAGCCCUGAACUAAAUAUUUUUAUUUUCUUUUCAAAUCUUAUUUUAUUUAACAAUAAAAUAAGUCUCAUAAUCUUAUCAAAUCAUCAAAACACGUCAAAUCUUCCAAAUCAACUUAAAUCUUCUAAAUUCAACAAAACUCACAUAUAUAUUAUAAAAAUAUAAUAUAAUGGCGUAAACUCGAUUAAAUAAUUAAUUAAACGAAAGUGGGCGUUACAUCUCCCCACAUCAUCUCAAAUUUCCUUCUCAGUGAUUGAAGCUUAAUCAAUUUCACUUUAUCAUCACAUUCAUGAUACUUUGAAAGAAUGUCUCAUGCUUCCUUUGAACUAACUAUUUUUGAGAUUCUUUCAAAGUUUCCUUCAUCAAGACUUUGUUGAAUCAAGAACAGAGCCUUGCAAUCUUUCUUCUUAAAUUCCUUGUGUGCGUUCCUUUGCACCUCAGUGGCAUUCGCAGAUGAUUCAUCUACACCAUUCUGCACAAUUUUCAACAGAUCUUGUGCUCCAAACAAAUUCUUCAUCACUGCACUCCAUCUUUCCCAAUUGCGUGCUUCAAGAAUUGGAAGAUGUGUGUUGAAACUAUUGCUACCAUUCGUGGUGUUUCCUUAAGCAUUUCUUCCUUCAAAUUGCGUGAUUGAAGAUAUUGAUAACCCCUUAGAACGAAACCAAAGGCUCUUGAUGCCAAUUUGUUAGCGCAACAAAUCAAUGCUUGUCACACAAGCAAUAGAAACCAGAAGCAGUUUUUCAGUUUUAGGAUUUUCGUGAAUUUGUGAAUUAGAGAGAAAUUGAGAGAAGAGAAAGAUUCUGAAUUGAUGAAAGUAAAAGUGUAUAUUGAUGCUACUGAAAUCUGUAUAAUGAAUGGGUUUAUAUACAAACUAGUGCUAUGUUACUUGAAGCACAAGUAAGUAACAGCUAUAACCCUUAUUUCUUAAAGCUUGUAACCAACUUGUAACAAACUUCAAAACAACUAAAACAAAGUGUAAUCAAUCAGCUAAUUAUGAUUAAUACUAAACUAACUUGAAUUAUCAACUAAAACUAACAAUAAUAACAUUUCACUUCAGAGAAGUGUUCAUGACAAAUUAAAAAGUUUAUCCACUGACUUAGGUUAUGUGGACUGUUUAGAACAUGGUGCAACCUUUACAUGUCUGAUCUAAGUGUUCAUGAAGUGUGGUUGCGUUGUAAUGCUCAUUUUUUUCAUAAUACCGGUGAUUGUUCAUUAUAAUAGAUCAAUAUAUCUAAUGCAACAAUACUUCACAGUAUACAUGCUCCAUUCCCUCUAUCCUAUUUUCAUUAUUUUUUCCCUCAUUAAUAUGAAUACUCUAUAUCUAUAUUUUAAAUUAAUAUUCCUUUCAGUUUUUAAAUAAUAUGUAACUUUCGACGAUAAAGAAUAAUUUUUCCCGUCAAUUGUACGUGUUCACACACUAGUAAUUAAUUGUUGCAUUAGAUAAUUUUGUUCGUAUAAACAUAUAAACUUUAUUUUUAGCCCUUACAAACAUUAUCUUCAAACUCUUGUAAGUACACAUUUUCUGUUAUCAAUUUCAGUCUCCACUUUAACUAUAGUGACGUUGACGAAUUUUUAAAAUAUCUAUCUAAUUGACUUAAUAUAUUUUUUUAAAUAUUUAAUUAACUUAAUUACUUAACUAUUUUUUCGACAUUGUCAAUUUUUUUACGAUGUCACAUGUCACAUGAACUUCCGUUAGACAUUUGUUGUCAUUGUUAACAUUGAAGCCUAAAACUGUUUUAACAAUAAUAAAGACUAAAAUUGAUAACCAAAUAUAUACGUAUGAUUGAAGUUUCAAGAAAGAUGAAUAAUAAGCAAUAGAAAAUGUUGACAGAUUUAUAGAGAAAACAAAUAUAAUUUUAGAUAAAAAUUUGUUAGAUCUCACAAGAACAUGAUUUAAAAACUUAAUGAAUGUUUUGUAAAAUAACAAUAUUAAAAAUAAUAUAUGUAAGAGUAUGUGACUAGUGACUCUACAUAGCCUACAAUGAAAAUUUACUAAGUGAGGUGUGAGCUAUUCGAACAAGACAAAUGUUAUUUGAAUAACCACUUUUUAAAAUAAUUUAUUGGAUAACCAAAAUAUACAAAGAAAUGUAAGGAUUGACACAAAAACCAAAACAAUGAAAAGAGAAAAAGUAGAAAUACAAUGUGAGUAUAUUAAAGAAAGUUGUUACAAAUUUUAAAACAAUUUAUUGGACAACCAAAAUAUACAAAGAAAUGUAAUUAGGAUCGACAAAAAACCAAAGCAGUGAACCCAGUUGGGUUGGCCUGGUGGUAUUGGCUUGGGACUUGGGAGUGUGCUCCUCCUCCAUGUCUCAAGUUCGAUUCUCCCUAGUGCCAAUUAAGGUGGGCUAAUUUAGCUUCUUCAAAAAAAAAAAAAAAAAAAAACCAAAGCAGUGAAAUGAAAAAGGAUAAAUACAAUGUGAGAUGUUAAAGAAAGUUGUUACAAAAAUUAUCAUAAAACCGGUUUUUAAUAUUUAAUUCUAAUACUUACAAGGUUAAAGCAAUCAAGCGGCUAAUACACUACAGUAGAGGUGGCGGCAGAUACAAUGGCUGUCAAGGAUAUGUGACACAUGUAAAGGUUUGUAACGGUGGCGGAGCCACUCAUGAGCUAGGGUGGAUCACGGCCCACCUAAACCCUAAAUAAAACAUUGUUAAUAUGUAAAUAUACACAUUUUAAAGUACGGAGUUAUAUUAUAUAUACAAUAUGUUACGUAAAAAUAACAAUUGUGUACUUUGUCCCAGCGGUUAGACUAAGGAACCCUUCAUCAAUUAAAAUUAUGUCAUAAUUUUUAAUUUCAUAUGCGUUUUUUCUUAAAAGAUAUAUCAAUAAAAACUCUACUGUAUAUGGAUUUGCUUUUAACUAUUAUAUAUGUAAUGUAAUAUCUCUCACCAAAAUUAUGUAAAUAAAGCACAAUUCUUUUAUUCAACAAAAAAAAAACUUUUUUAAUUAAAAGUAUGUGUAAUAUAAUAGAAAUUAUACAAUAUUUAUAGUCACUUGAAUUAAUAGCCUAUAUAUAACAUGGGUAUAAAUCAUGUUACAUAGAAAAAAUAAAUAAUCCCUCAAAUUAACUAAUAAAAUAAUUCCGUUAGGCAAAAUUACACAAAUGGUCCUAUAACUUAUUUUUAGGUAACGUUUUCGUCCUCUAUCUUUUUUAUUUCCCAUUUUCAUCCUUUAUCUUUUUAAAAUGUUUCACCGUUACCCUUCUGUUAACCAUCUGUUAAAAAAAACUCUAUUCUAAUUACCUUUUUACCCUUUUAUAAUUACUCUCUUUUUCUUUGUUAUUUUCAGAAACGCGUUCACACACAGAGAACAUAAACGCGAUUGAGAAGAAGGAAAAUAGAAGAUGAAAACCUAGAACACUAAGCUUGAUGAUGUGAUUCGAAAAACCAGGAAAAUGCUACUAUUCGAUUUGAAAAGUUCUGUGAUUUGAAACGGCACAGAGUUCUGCGAUUUGAAGUUGCAAUUUCAAAAACCUAGAAACCCUAAUUGAUUUUGAUUCUGCGAUUUGAAGGUAUGUAUCUGCAAUUUAAUGAAUUUAUUUGUUUUUCCGAAUCAUUAUGUGUUUCUAAUGUUGCUUUGAUUCAUGAACAUGCUAAAAACCCUCUCUAUAUUUCUUGUUCUUUGUAGCAAACCACUCUGUUAUAUUUCUUGUUCUGUUUCUAUCUAAAGCAUGCUGAAAAAAAAUACAUUUUGAUUAGUUUACUAUCUAUGUCAUGUUGUAUGUUUUUAUGUGUUUCUACUGUUGCUUUGGUUAUUUAUUUAUGCAUGUUGCAUAUGUGGUCCCUAUUUUUUGGUAGUGAUUUGUUGUGGUCCCUACCUAUAUGUUUAAUAGUUUUCCAUUGAUUAUGUUUUUGUCAUUAUUCAGAUGUCUACAAUAUCCGUUGAUAUUCAUCAUGGUGGCUAUUUUAUCGACCAAUCAAAGAAUGUGUACGAAGGUGAAGUGUCAAAUUGGAUUUGUGACACUGACUAUUGGUGUUUUUUUGAUAUUGAAGAAUAUGUUGGCAAAUUGGGGUACAAGGAUAACAUUAGCAUGUGGUAUGAGGUUGGUGGUGUUAAAAAGUGCCUAUAAGAUGAUACUGGAGCUAAUGAAAUGAGUGAUUGGGCCAAGGGUAAUGGAAAAGUGCAUUUGUUUCUAGUACAUUCAGUGUCACAGCCCAACUAUAUUAUCUAUAGUGAAGCCCAACCUGAAAUGCAUGAUGGAGACUCUGAUGAUAGUGCCUUGGAUGUGGGAUUUGGAGACUCGGAUGAUGAGCUGCUCAUUAAUGAUGGUUUUGGUGAUGUACAAACAGAAGUUGAUGUUCUUGGGGAAAUAACACCAACUAUUGAGGAUAAUGAGGAAAGAAGGAAAAGGUUAGGUGCUAAAAAGAGGAAGGGGGCAGAAAAUGAAGGAAAUUCAAGUAAAAAAAAGAAGGCCCCAACUGGUAAGAAAAGAGGGAGACCUAAGAAGACCAUAGUUGAGAAAGAUCUAAACGUGGAACUAAGUGUAGAGCCAAAUAUUUUAAUUGAUGAUGAUGAUUUCAAUUGGGGUACAACGAAAAGGCAAGAGCUUGUGAUGCCACAUAGAGGGUUGUCUGACGAUGAGUAUGUGUCUGAAGAGUUAGUUAGUGAUGAAUCGGGAGAGAAUAGUGACGAGGAAAGUACUAAAAAGAAGUUUUCAGGUUUUGUCAUGCCAAAAAAUAUGCUCGACUACAAGUGGGUCUUGGGUACACUUUUCUCAGACAGAGAGGAAUUUAAGGCUGCAAUUGCAACUUAUGCUGUUCAUAAUGGGAUCGAUGUGAAGAUGAUCAAGAAUGAUAAAAUAAGAGUGAGGGUUGUAUGCAAGGACCCGUGUCAGUGGAUGGCUUAUUGUGCUAAACUUCCCGAUGAAGAUACAUGGCAAUUGAGGAAAUUGUAUGACAAACAUUCUUGUCCCAAGGAUUAUAAAGUCUCAUUAAUGAAAUCAAGUUGGCUGGGGAAAAGAUUAGAGUCAACAGUGAGGGAGACUCCUAAUAUUACACUGACAUCUAUUUCAAACAAAGCACAUCAAAAGUGGAAUGUUGGAGUGAGUAAGAUGAAAGCUUAUAGGGCUCGUAGGGUUGCAAUUGAUUUGGUUGAUGGAUCAUUUAGAGAACAAUAUCUUAGAUUGUAUGAUUACUCUCAUGAACUAAUGAGAUCUAAUCCACUAAGUACUGUCAAGGUGCAAAUUCAACCUACAAUGGUAGAAGAUAGACGGGAGAACAAUGAGGAAAUUUAUGUGGAUAGACCCUUGCUGCCAAGUUUCCAACGCCUAUACAUGUGUCUUAAUGGCUGUAAAGAGAGUUUCAAAGUGUGCAGGCCUAUUAUUGGCCUUGAUGGUUGUUUUCUUAAAGGUUAUUAUGGAGGUCAAAUACUUGCUGCUGUGGGUAGAGACCCAAAUGACCAAAUGCUCCCAAUUGCUGUGGCUGUUGUUGAAAGUGAAACAAAAGAUUCAUGGGAUUGGUUCCUUAAACUGCUAGUUGACAAUUUGGGUGGUCCAGAAGCAUGUAAUUCGUACACAUUCAUAUCUGAUCAACAAAAGGUUAGUUUCAAUAUCAUAAUUAUUUCUAAUUGAUUAUAAUAUUCAUAGUUGAUUAUGCAUAUAGACUAUAAUAUGAAUAACUUAUUAUACAUAUUGAUUAUUUGGUUUAAGGGACUUUUACCUGCCAUGGAGGCGAUUCUUCCUGAUGUUGAACAAAGGUUUUGUGUAAGACAAUUGUAUAAUAAUUUUAGAAAAAAGCAUCCGGGUAAGAAACUCAAGGAGUUAAUGUGGAAGGCAGCCAAGGCUACAUAUUUUCAAGCAUGGGAGAGGGAGAUGAAAGAAAUAAGGAAGGUUAGUGAAGAAGCUUAUAAAUAUUUGCUGAAGAUUCCACAAAAGCAUUGGUCGAAAUCAAGAUUUUCAUUCAAUUCAAAGUGUGAUGUAUUAGUCAACAAUAUGUCAGAAACCUUCAAUAGUGUAAUAAUUGGACCCAGGGGAAAGCCAAUUGUUACAAUGUUUGAAGACAUCAGAGGCUAUUUUAUGGAAAGGUGGGCAACAAACAGAACUAAGAUACAAGCAUAUGAUGGCUCUGUUUUGCCUAACAUAAAGAAAAAACUGCAGAAAGAGUGUGAGUUAUCAAAGAAUUGGGGAUGCAGGUAUGCUUUUGUCAUAUUCUAACUUUGUAAAUGAAUAUGUAUCUAAUAUGGUUCAGUUUUUCUAAAUGUAUGUUUCUGCUAAGUGCUUUUGCUUUUUGGUUUGUCUAAAUGCUAAGUGUUUUUCUACUAUAAUAAUAUCAUGAUUUCUUGCCUUCUGUUAUGAGUUUUUCUAAAUGUCGUAAUAUGGUUCAGUUUUAGACUUUUAACUAGUGUAUAUAUAUAUAUGCUUAUGUUUGACAAGGUUUUCGGCUGAGAAUAUCUAUGGGGUGUAUGCCCUCAAUCACACAGGAGAGUCCUUUACAGUAAGUCUGGAAAAGAAAGAAUGUUCUUGCAGGAAAUGGAUGCUUACUGGAAUACCUUGUUGUCACGCAGUAGCAAGCUGCAUAUUUGCCAAACAAGAUCCGGAAAACUUGAUUCCUGAUUGUUACAGAGUAGAGAAAUAUGAGGCUUGUUACCGUCCUAUCAUUUAUCCACCAAAUGGAAAGAACCUGUGGGUUUCAACUCCAUAUUCAGAUAUAUUACCACCCCCUUUAAGGAAACUUCCUGGAAGACCGAAAAGGAAAAGGAACAAAGAUGGUGAUGAGAAAGCGAGAGAUUCUUCACUUGUUAGUAGAAAAGGAAUGCCCGCUAGAUGUUCUACAUGCAAACAACCUGGUCAUAACAAAACUUCUUGUAAAGGGCCCUCAAUUCCAACUGUAACAAAUCAGACUCAAAACGCACCUAAUCAGAGCCAAACUGCACAACCUGCGCCUGGUGUUGGUCAGAAUGCAACACAGACCCAAACUGUUGCUACAUCUCAGAAAAAGCCUAGAGGAAGACCUCGAAAAGUAAAUGUUGCUGCAAGUACUCAGCCUGUUACUAGUAGUAUCUCUGCAACAUCAAAUAUGGUAACAAAUAUAUCUGGUGCAAAUUCUCAACCUACUGCAAGCUCAAGAUAUUCAACAACAACUCACUUUGCUAGACAAAAGAUGAAAAUAUGGAGGCCAUGAUAUUUGAUGACAGUUUGUUUAAUGUAUUUUUUGGGCAACUUUUGUGAUGUCUUACUUUGGAACCUAAUGUCUUUUUGUAUGCAGCUCUUGUACUGCCUUUAUGUUGGAAUUUUAUUACUUUCAAACCUUAUGUCGUUUUGUAAGCAGCUUGUACUGCCUUUAAGUUAGAAUUUGUGGCAGUAUGUAUUUAUGCAGUUAAUUAGUUAUGACUGAUUUUGUAACAAUGACAAAAGUUGCAUUAUGUUAUUAUGGGAGAAGUUAUUAUAACAAAAGUUAAUUACUAUUGAUACCAAUUGAUAUUAUUGCGUAUGAACCUAUUAAUUGAAACUACAUGACACCAAUUAUUUGACACAAAUUGGUAGAGGAAAUUAUUAUGGCAGCUGGGUUUUGUUUUUUGGUCUUGGUUUGGCCAUUUGUAAUUGCUUAUGUUCUGUCCGUAUCCGUCCAUGGCUUGUUAGUGCUUCUCGCACGGGCUAGUGGCUAAUAAUAUUUUGCCGAUUAAAAAAAAAAAAACUCUUGCAAAAUCAAAUGAGAUCAAGUCACCAAUUUGUUGACACUAACUCAUUCAGUCGGACUACAUCAAUACAUAAUUGUUGAGUACAUUCAUCGAGUACAUUCAAUACAUAAUUUCUUAACAAUCGAACAACCUUAUUUGAUCAACUUAAACAUAAAAGUUACACCAAAUAAAAGAUGAUAAUCAAAAUCUUCAUCCAACUUUUUGUUGAGUUGUGGUCCAUUUGCAUCUUCAGGAUAACAUUCUUAAGUGUCCUUGAUUCCAAUUCCAUUUGCAUCCAGAAUUAAUGUUACUAGCCUACAAUUUAUGAAGAAAAAAAAAACCAUUAAAAUUAAGGCAAAAUUAACUAGUGAUAACAGAUCUGAAAAGGAUUAGCAAGAGAGAACAAGGUAUGUAUGUAAUAAUAUGUAUGAAUACUCACCACAAAGUUCCUACAACCCCAAAAUUUACUUCCUCUAUUAGGACCCAUUUUCGUCACUGUUCUAAUAACAUGUAGCAUCUUACAGAAACAUUCUCGCGUGAACAGGUUGCGUCCCCCAGAAAUGAAAGAACCGAAAAAUGAUUGUGUGUGUGAACCUUGUGUGCGUAAGGAUGCCAUGAAUUUUGAGAUUUGAUUUUUUAGGGUUCUUGCAGGUUGAAGGGUGAUUGAGAAGAAGCUUGUGUGAACAUUGGAGAAGAUGAACAUAACGUUAAAUUUUUUUUUUAACAGACUAGUUAACAGAUUCCACUUAAAGGAUUGUUGUGCAACAUUUUAAAAAGAUAAAGGAUGAAAAUGGGAAAAAAAAAAGAUAAAGGACGAAAACGUUACCUAAAAAUAAGUUAUGGGACCAUUUCUGUAAUUUUGCCAUUCCGUUAAUAAUUCUUUUAUCUCAAUUGUGUUUGGUUUUGGCUAUGAAGCACGGACACUUCUCAGAUUAGCCGUGUUUCGGUGUUGUUGGUGUCGUAUCCGACACCAGCACAUAUAAAUAUAUUGACUUAUGUGAUUUUUUCAAAUUAUUAGCGGUGUUGGCGUGUCAGUUUAUGUGUUUCAUAGGGUAUUUGGGAUAGUUGAUCUUGGAUUUGUAGAGCUGUUGGUGCUUUCCUUUGUCUUUUAUAACGUUAUUUGGUUUGUUUUGUUGUAUUGGUCUGUUAUGCUGAUUUGGCCAGUCAAAUUGGGUGUGCUGCAUGGUAUCAAGGAAGUUAGUAGUGACUUCAGUUUUCACAAGUAUUGGGUGUGUCUUUGUAUAAGUACUCAUGUAUUAUCUUUCUUUUUUUGGCUGUGCCAUUUUAAUGAAUUAUCUUUGUUUGGAUUUUAAAAAAGAUGAAAAAAAUAUUAAUAUAUGUGUCGGUGUCGUUAAGGUUUGGCUUUUAAAAAAGAUAAAAAAAAUAUUAACAUAUGUGUCAGUGUCGUUAAGGUAAAUGUUAAGUACCUCAAUGUGAAGAUUUUAUUGUGUCAAUUUAUUUAUUUAACAUAAAAGUUGAAAAUUAAUUUACCUCAAUGAGUACUUUACACUAUAUGCAAUCUUUCACAUAUAUUCUCUCUGUUUCAUAUUAUUAUGUGUUAUUUACUAAAACACAUUAUUAAUUAUAGUUAGUGGAGUACUUAAAAAUGAUUGAAAUGCAAUAAAUAAGAGUAUGUUAGUGAAAAAAAUUAUUUUAUUGAUAUCGUAAAAGGGACAAUAAACUUUAAAACGAAAAAAAAAUGUAAAAACUGACAUCUAAUUUGAAACAAAGGAAGGGAGUACAUUUAUAUCACAUGUUAGCGUGACUCAUUAACAAUUAGUAUAAGAUAAAAAACACAUAGUGAAGUAGUUAAGUUGGAUGAAAUUCAAUAAAUAAGGAUAUAAUGGUGGAAAAAAUAAUAAUAAAUGUUGCAUUGAUAUUGUAAAGUAACAAUUAUUUUGAAAAAAACAAAAAAUGAUACGGAGACAAUAAUUAUGAGACGGAGAGAGUAACAAAUCUUAUCGCAGCAACUCUCCAUUUUGGGGAGAAUUUUAGUAGUAAAAUACGCAGGUUUAAAUAUUUGGAAUUCUAUUUUUCAUCAAAUUCCAUGUGUGCUCUACAUAGAGAUUACUAAUUAAUUUUGAAGCAAAACAAAUAUUUAUUUAUGGAUGGUUUAUAGUUUUUAAAUAGCUUUUAUUCAUUAAAGUUUAUGGAUGGUUUACCAUCUUUAUAUAAGUAAGCUGAUAUAUAAUUUGAUUUGUCCUUUAUGUUUGCUUUCAGGCACAAUUGCCUUAAGAUAAGACAAGAUGGAUGUAAAAUAAAAUUAUUUUGAAGUAAGAUGGAUGUAAUACUGUAAACCAUGGCUACCACUAGAGUUAGUUGAGGUUUCAUGUUGAUUUUUCAAAUUUUUAGAACUCAAUAACUUGAUAAAACAACAAUUAUAUAUCACAAUUCUGAAGCUGAAGUCAUUACAAGGAUGAAGAAUAUUGUGCAGGCUAUUCCUGAGUAGCCUUAUGCCAAAAAGUGAUCACUCAUUAGGGUCGAUGGAUUUUUCAGAGAGAUACUAAUUAAUUACAUAUUGUCCUUAGUGUAACUUUUCUAAUUCUUAUGCUUUGGACUUUGGUCAAUGGGGUAUAGAACUUUAUAUUUUAGGGAUUACAAGAGAAAUGAUCCAAAUUCGAACAUUAAUGAUUUUUUUUUGAUAAAAACAACACGAUAUUCAUUCAUUCAAAUCGAUAGAGUACAUCAGAUACAAACAUCGCUAAAAACGUAAACGGUGAAUAUGCGAACAAACUCACAGCACCCAAGUUAAUAGCAUACAACGGCAAAAUGUCUACAAAUAAUAUCGAACAUUAAUGAUAUAGUCAUGUAGUCUUGUGUUAAAAAUACUAACGAGGACAAUCUUUGAACACCCUUUAUGUACUAUUAUACAAUAAAAAUUGAAACAUUUGACAUUUUAUAAAAAUAAUUAUUUAAUUAGAUAUUCUUAAAAAGUGGUUCCAAAACACUCAUUAACAAGACCUUGACAUAAUUGGUUAAUAUUCUUGGCUACAUUAUAUAAACUUGAAUCAAAAUAAUAGCAGGUUAUUAAAAUGCACAACACACCGUAUGUAGACAGAUAAAUAAACAAAGGGUUAUGUUAACCAGUGCCUUAGGACACUAGUUUUUUUUUCUUGAGCAAAAGUAAAUAAUAUAAAAUAAAAAGAACGAGAUACAAAGAUUGAGGGACAUUAAACAUGACCCAGUAUUAACCCAAACGGGAAACAUCGUGUUAAAACAAACCAAGCGGACCCACCCUAAUCUAUUCUAACACAAAUUCACUAAUCAUAGACGCUGCCUAGCGAAUCCGCAUAUGGGUGCGAAACCAAGUUAAAAAAAAUAUGAAGAGUGAAAAUGUGCAAGCAAACAUGGUGAAUGAAUCGACCGUUAACACGGUAACAAAUCCAAGUGUCAGCUCCCUUAACAAAGCAGCAAACAGUAAGCUCUUUCGACGGAACCUAAAAAUAGUAAAUUUACAUUGAAUUCAACAAUCUUUAAACUUUUAAAAUGUUAAAUCAAUCACUUUUCACUAUUUCCCAAUACAUCAUUUAUAAAUUUGUUCUCUUAACCAAUGUCUUGAGGGCAAUCCUUAAUAUUUUCCAUAAACAAAAAAUGUUGUGAUCAACUACUCCGCCGGUCAAUAAUUUAUAAGUUUUACUUAAAGAAAGAUAGUUUCCAAUGUGUAAAAAAAAAUUCAAUGCAUUGUUUUUAAGUAAAUUUUUCUCUUUAGUUUUUUUUAACAAGUGUCAUUAGUGGUAGCACUUCCUUAUGAAACAAGAUAUGGAUGUAAUGCAAAAUUUAGAGUACAUGUAAACAUUGCUUCAACAGGAAAUCAGGGAUAAGACCAUAUCAGUUCUAUGUUACUAUGGCCAAUGAAUGCAGUGGUUUUCACAAAGUUGGAUUCGUAAAAAAGGAUUUGUAUAACCAAGUUGGUAAGCAACGUAAACAACUUUAUUUUGAUGUAAGUGAUGCGGUGAAGUAUCUUAAAGAUCUGAGCUUGAAAGACCCACUUAUGUUUGUGACACACACCCUUGAUAAGGAUAAAAGGCUUGAGAGAUUGUUUUGGAGCGAUGGGGAAAGUCAAAUGAACUAUGAGAUAUUUGGAGAUGUCAUUGCCUUUGAUGUAACGUAUCGAAAAAACAAGUAUAAUUGUCCGUUUGUUAUUUUUUCAAGUGUUAACCACCAUAAUCAUAUGAUUGUUUUUGGUGCUGGUAUCGUAACACGGGAGACCAAAGAGACGUACGUGUGGUUGUUGGAACAGUUCUUAAGUGCAAUGAAAGGGAAGCAUCUGUUAUCUGUAAUCACUGAUGGAGACCUUGCAAUGAGAAAUGCUAUCAAGAAAGUAUUCCCCAACGCUUAUCACCGACUGUGUGCGUGACAUUUGUUGCAGAAUGCAUCGUCCAAUAUUGAAAUUCCAGUAGUAAUGUCUUAUCUGAAAAAAUGCAUGUUGGGUGACCUUGAGAUCAGUGCGUUUGAAGAGUUAUGGGUUGAGAUGGUUGAAAAGUUUGGUUUACAAGACAACAGUUGGAUCAAUGAGAUGUAUGAAAAAAAAAAAGAAAAUGUGGGGAACCACUCACAUUAGGGGGUGUUUCUUCGCCGGGUAUCCGAACGACCUCUCGUUGUGAGGCGCUCCAUAGCCACAUGGGACAUUUUGUGCAUUCUCGUAUUAGCAUGGCUGACUUUGUUCAACAAUUCCAUAGGUGUCUUACCUAUUUUCGGUUUAGGAAAAUUGAAUCUGAUUUCCAUUCCAACUAUGGUCAACUAGUUUUGCAAACCGGUCUACAGUCUAUAGAGAGAUCAGCAGCAAAGCUAUUUACGAAGGAGAUAUUUUUCAUGUUUAGGUCAGUUCUAAAGAAGGCACUUCUUAUAAGAAUAACUGAAUGUCAAGAAAUGGCUACAAGGUGCAUUUUUAAAGUUUCAAAAUACCAUGGUGAUGGAAGCGAAUGGCACGUUACCAUUUGCGAAGAAUCGGUUGACCUCAAAUGUUGUUUGCGAAUGGAGUCACUUGGAUUUCCAUGUUGUCAUAUCAUAGUUGUGAUGUUGUAUCUUGAUUUUGACGAGCUUCCAAGUAGUUGGUUUUGCCUAAGUGGUCGAAAUUUGCAAAAGAUUUAAUUCGGGACAAAUAUUGUAGUGGUUCUCUGUACUGGGAUUCACAGUCUGCUGCCAGAUAUUCCGGUAUAGUCAAGAUGUGCAAAGUUGUUGCCGGUUUGGUUUAUGAAGAUCUUGACGAGUAUCAGCAUUUUGUUGAAAGUUUGGGUGCAGAACUCCGGAGAUUGAAAAUAAAGAACAAAGUUGACACAACAUAAAUGUCUCCAGUUUUACAACCUGAGAAUGAGGAUAAUGAAGUCCUUGAUCCCGAUAUUGUUAGAACAAAAGGUUGUGGUUCAAUUUCAACAGGCAGGCGCAAACGGACGCAAACUUGCAGUCUUUGUGGUGUAGCGGGCCAUAAUAAGCGAUGUUGUCCACAUCUCACUUUAAAUAUUGGUGGUCAUACCCUUUCCCCAAUCAACAGUGAAGAAGAGACCGAAGAAGAUGUGAACUACAACUACAACAGUCAGACGGUAUGUAUCUAAUUCGUAGAUUUCUAUUUAUAUUAUUUCUUUACUAUGUUGUUAAUUUUGCUCAAACUUUGACAUUGGGGCAUACAUUAAACAACUCCAGUGUCUUUCGUUGUAGGAUAUUGGCACACAAGACUGAAUGCAUUGUUAGUAUGAGUAAGAGUCGUUUCUGGAAUGUGUUGUGCAAGGGUUGAUGUGGUUAAUUUCAUGUGUUAAGUAUAAUUUGUGUUUUUGUAAUGUGCGCUACUAUGUAUGUUUUAUGAAUUCAGGGGCUUUUAUGAGUAUCCCGUAAGUGUAAUAAUAUUGCCUAAUGCACACUAAUGUUGUUGCUACUACUAGUUUCUAUUGAGACAAGUUUGUAAUAAUAUGAAUUGUGUGAACCUUAUGUGGAAUAUUUUGAUGUAUUGCUGCUUACAUGAGUAUAGCAUUUUCGUUUGGAAUAUUUUUUGAUUGAUGCUGUAACGUAACAAAUGAGAUGUUUGUGGACUACCAUUUGAUGUUCUUGUGGUCUAACAAUAUAUGUGUUAUACCAAUGUGUGUGUCACUGUCUGUGGACAUUGUCACAUAACAUGGUUUCUGAUAAUCCAGUGGUUGUAUUAUGCAGUUAGGAUAGAUUAGUUGUUUGUGUUAGAUGAAUGUGUUUAAGUGCCUGGGAAUUGAAGGAGUCACAUGAUUUCGUUGUUUUGCAUUAUUUCGCAUGGUUCAACGAUUGUAUUAUGCUUUUGCGAUAGCUUUGUUGCCUGUGUUAGACCAAUGUUAGUGUUACUAUCUGGGAAUUGACGGUGUCACUAAAUAUUGUAAUACUUGGUUCCUUCUCAUGGUCAAGUAACCUUAUUACGCAUAUAGGAUAUAUUGCAUGCUAAAUUGAACUAAACUGCAGAAGAACCCUUAUGUGAUGCUAUUGAGUAUUCCAUGCUGAACAUCCCUAUUAGUCAAAUAUUGAUUUGCAAAUAUGUUUCUUGAUUUAAGUGUAUAAUCGAUAUUAAAAUUUAUAGUCAAAUUUAAUAAACUAGAGGUUUAUCUGUUUAAAUAUAAAAAAUGUUGUGAUAUUUUGUAUAUGAAUAAAUUGUUUAUGUGUAAGGUAAUGUCGCAUUAGGUAUUGUAUUAUGCAUUUGCUGGUGGAUAUUAAAACAUCAUCAAUUAACACAUUAAACAUUAAUCCUUACGACAAUAACAUUUAGGGGUACAUAGAGAGUAAUACAAAUAACUAUAUACACCAACAUGGCCUAUUAGGUAUGCGAUGAAGACAAGCAACAUGUGAGGUCUGCAUAUAAACAGACAACAUCAGAAGCCCAUACAUAAACCAUUAAAAAACAUAAGGAAGCCAAAUUCUAAAGAACCAUAAGCCUAUAACCCACACCUAAUCAAACCACAAAAUAAAACCCAUAAACGUAGUUUUUCCAGCAACAAAGCCACUACAGUUAUCCAGCAAUAAAGAAAUAAUGCUAAACAAUGACAUAAUAGUACACAAUCUUAGAAAAACAAAAUAAAUACGCCCCUUUUUUUCCAAACGACACCUCCUAACCAACACAUACAAGGGCACUUCACUUCCUUGUCUCGUAAGCACGCUUAGCCAUUAAAUUGUUCCAAUGUUUCCUUGCAUUUGACUGAAUGCUCUCCUUCUACUCAUUGUGGGGAUCAAGCAAAAGACGAAGCGCAAUUCUCAUCCUCACAUGUUCAUCAAUCAUCUUUUUUUUGAAUAGAAACAACAAACAAUUAGUCUACCUUGCUACCAACAUAAUGUAUAUUAUAUAUUGCUUAUCAAGACUCAUGAUGUACACAACUUACCACUCCCACUAUCUGAUUGUUGAAGCUUCCCUGCAUAUUCAGCCACUCUAUCACCUAAAUGCCAAUGUUUUCGCUGCAUUUUAGUCGAGACCAUUGCUAUUAGUUACUAAGUUUAGGUAGGUCAUAACUAAUUUAUGUAACCAUGGAUGUUCAAUCAACGUAGAUCUGAUAAGGAUUUACCUAGUCCCGCAAUUGGGCACACCACGAGUCUCUUCAAUGUUCCAGUCUUCAAAAUCCGGGAAAGCACAAAAAGGCACGUCCGAAUGAUAAAUACUCAACAUCAUUUAAGAAAUCACGCCAGCCUAAAACAAAAUGGUCGAAGGUCAUCAAGGAAUAGCACGCAUAAAAAAUGUUAUAUUUGGUAAUAAUACUUACCACUUUCUUAAUUUGUUGAUACUUUCUGUAGUAAUACAAAGGCAGUAUAGUUAUAAUUUAGUGAGUUAGUAUAUACUUAUGUAAUAGUUGGUUUGCAUCUAAAUUUAAAGCCAUAUUAUAUAUAGGAUGUGUAUAACAGUACUGAGCUUCCAACACAUGACUUAGGCACCAAGCACUGGAAAUCACUCCGAAUACCAAUGACUUGUCCCGUAGCAAAGACCAUAUCAUCACUUGAUGUUGCGCUAAAAACACACUUAGAGCAAGUGUACUCUAUCGCAGAAGUAGUAUAAAAGAUUAUCGUAUCCACAAGGAUUAAUUAACAAGUACCAAACUAAUUAAGAUUAAUUUAUUAUUUAGACGAACAAGUAAUAGAAUGGUUUCGGUAACUAAAGAAAAAGUAAUGACGAAGAAGGAUAAAAAUGCGAAGAUGUAAUCAAUAAAGAGAGGUCUAGGGUCGCGGUUUCACUUGCAAGUUUCGAUUCCCUAAUGUCUAGUUCUAAUCAAAUUCCUAUUUUUAUUCAAUCACCAAUCCCUUUACUAAAACUAUUAAUUUGUUUGGUCAUUCGUGAUUAAUAUUCUUUCUCCUAAGUUAACACUUUGUUUGGUCAUUCAAAGAGUUGAAACCAAGAAAAGCAUGAAGCGUGAAAAGGUUGAAUGAUUGGAAGACUACAAUUAAGAUUUGAUCAUGCAAUAAUUCUAAUCUCAAUUGUUCUAUAGGUCCACCAAUUAAUUGCAGUACGAUCGCUGAUCAAUUAACUGAUUGUUAACAUGCAAAGGUUUGAUCAUUCCUAAUCAUGUGAUUAAAUCAAUACAACAAAUUUGAUUGGAAUAGAAAUAGAAAUUAUAAUUAAUAAACUAGAACAUGACAAGGUAUCUCAACAUACAAGAUUCACCUAAGACCCUAGAGAAAUAUUCAGCUAUCCAUGAUCAAAAACAACACUAAAAUAGAGAUAGAAUUCAUGAAAUUAAGAACAAGAAAUAACCUAAAAGAAAGAAAAAAUUCUUGCUCCAAGACUUGAAUCUUCAAUUUCUAUCCCCAAAGCUCUUCUCUUUGUUGCAUGUAGUGUCUGUGUAAUGUCUGAAGUCUCCCUCUCUUGUUGAUUUGCAAUGCUUUAUAAAGACCUCUUGAAUUCAAUUUCACCGCCCCCAAAAUUACUUCACAAUCAGGUUUUCUUCUUACCAUCACCGUAAAAAUCCUUUUUCUUCUUUUUAUCUCAUGUGUCAGUACAACCAAAUUGUUUGUUUCAAAAAGGUAAGCAUUCACUUAAUCACUAAGGAUUAUCACCGCCCUUUGUCUCUCCUUACCGUAUAAAACAAAACAACUUUUUUUUGCUCUUCUUCAUUGCUCCGCCUCUGUUCCUUUUCUCUGCUCAUGUGAUGUAGUUUAGCUACUUGUAAGGAGACAUCUUAAUGUGCAGCCACUUGAUGGUAGAUGAAAAAUUCCUUUUGUCUUCCUUUUGAUUGAUGAUUCACGACUCCUACCCUUUUGUUCCAGCAGUGUUGAAUUUAUUUGGGCCAAUCUGUUGUUUUGCUCUAAAAAAAGAAAAUAAAAGGACGAUUAUGCCCAUGUCUGUGUGUACGUUGGUGAUGUGUAGAGAAAUGGUAUUUGAUGCCCUUCACAUAAACAUAUAAGUACACAUAUCUUUGGAUUCUUUUUUCCUACUUUCUUAUCUAUAUAAAUAUCUAUAUAGAAAAAUAAAAAAUAGAUGAGUAUCUAAUUAAUAAUACAAAAUGUAAUAAAAUAUACUUAAUAUGUUAAUAUAUUUUACACAAUUAUGUGGUUUAUCACUUGAACUACGAAAAAAAAUCAUAUUGAAAUAAUGUAAGCACAUUUGAAUAAAAAUAUAAAGCUUAUUUAUAAUAAUGAUACCAACCCCCAUUAAUUAAAAUCAUAUAGUUACUCACUAAUGCAUGUAUGUUCACAUUCUACUUACAAUAUAUUGCAUUCAUCCCUAAAUAUGUAAGCACACAUUAUGGCUUCUGCUCCACAUAGCCUCAUGGCUUCGGUUGGUCUAAAUGUGCAAUCCACAUACUACAAUAUACAAUGAAAACGAAAUAAAUAAACCUUGCAAAAAAUCAUAACAGUUUCAAAUUACUUUAAUGUACAUGAUCAUCAACAUAAAUAUUGAAAAGUUCACCUUUGGAAGUACUGAUUUGUUUGUCUUAAAUUUGUAACGCCUUGGUUUUGAGGAUGCUGGUUUUGACUGCAUGGGAGAUGUUGCCAAUGUUAGUUGAGGAGAUGGUAAACCAUAUCUGGUACCUCCCUGAAAAUCCAAAGUGGUGCUCAUUUGUCUUUUGUAAGACAUAUUGCCUGGUGGUGGAGUAAAAGACAGUUUUUUGGCUGCAGGGACAUCAUCAUUGAUGGUCAUCUGCAAACCAUGCAUCAAUGAGGUUAGAUACCACAACAUACAAUACAGAAAAUUUCAUAUGGCUAUUUAUUUCUGUUAUUAUUGAAUAAACUUCUAGUAUAUGAGUUACCUGAUGAUAAGAUCUUUUGAAGUUGCUAAUGUUAGCAUGGUUUUCAGGAUCAACCUCGUCCCAAUCAUACACCAUUUGUUCCUUACCCUUCUUGUUUGGAGAGUGAUUCCUUUUCUUAAAUUCAUUGUAGUUCAUGGUUCCAAACUGAAUAUUGGUAAUGGGGUCAACUUUGUCAUCAUCAAACAAUAUGACAGUGGAGAUACCCGUUAGGUUUGGUGAGGUUCCAGCCUUUGAGUUGUUUCUCUCCUGGACUUCAAAGUGAUAUCCUUUGUUUUCGGUUGGUGAGUUCAGCUCAAGUCUGACCAUCCCAACAUUUUCUUAUUGGUAGAUCCCAUUUCUCCAAUCUGAGUGGAUAUGCCCUUGAAAAAAAAGUAAUUUUUACUUAUAUUCAUUAAUCCAUAGUUGUAAAAAAAUGAUAUAAUCUCUAUGACACUUAUUUUUACCCUACAACUUGUACAUAGUGAAAAGUAUAAAAUAUUUUAGGGUUUGAAGGUUCAUUUAAUCAGUAGCUAAAAUUCAUUUUUAUACCUUAAGUUCGACUGUUACUUGAGUUAGCAAGGCUUCGUGUGAUGAAAUUUGUGUUGGGGGUGGUAUGGUCCUGUCGUCAACCGUAGUUUGGGAAGCAACCUGGUAGACAUGUGUUAUGACAUUAAUAUUUUUACCAUGAUAAAGUCAUCCAUUGCAUGUAAACAUACACAGAUAAAAUUGCAUAUACAGUAUUUCUUACAGGUGGUGCAGGAACUGGUUGUAUUGCUGGUCCCAUGAAAGAAGCAACACAAAACGCAUAAUUUAGUGCCUCCUCUUGUCUCCGGCUUCAAAGAUUAUUAUUUAACACAAAAUGUUAACACUUUCAUUAUGUAUGUAGAUGAUGUUGACAAAAUUUAAUCAACAAAAAAAAAUAAUUAAGAGUCUAAACGAUUUAGAUAUACCUCUCAUCCUCUUCAAGUUGAGCAAUGAAGUCCAUGGGGUACUGCUGAUUGUUUUUGAAAGCUAGUGUUUGUAUUUAGAAAUUUUUUAGAGUUGAAAGAUAGAAGUUGUUGUGUGAGUAAACAAUCUGCAUCAUGGUAUUUAUACUACCAGCACAAUACAACCACAUUAGUGGUCUCCUCAACUUUGAUAGUCUCUAUUUUAAUUUUUUUAAUCUUAAUGAUCCACUUUAAUAGUAAUUAAAAAUAUUUGGAAAUUAUUUUUUUGUUAAAUCGAAAUUGAAGGUGGGUUACAUCAAUUAAAUGCAACCAUGUCUACUACAAUGUUAAUAAGAGUUUUUCAUCAUUGCUCUUUACCAAAAUAUACAAAACCCUCAUUGUGAUAAGUAUAUUUAAUUACAAGAGUCUAUGUUUUCCAAUUUGCUACAGUUAGAGAUCAUGAUCAAACGGUUCUGGGUAGACUUUGGUACACGUGAUGUUAUGUAACGUUAGGAAUGGUGGUGGGCGAAAUUUCACACCCUAAACCCUUCCAUUUUUUGAUGGGACAACUUCCACUAAGAGAACCAAUUUUCUUCUCUUUACACCACACGUGUGUUGGCUAUUUAUGGUAGACAUGGGUAACAUUUUUUUUUUUUUUUUUUGAACUUCAAAUGCUAAUAUUAUAAGCAAAUAGCAGAUAAAAAAGAUGGCCAGUCCAAGGCAUAUAGGGCAUUCCCCACCCAUGAACGGUUACCACAAUGUUUUGCAGCCUGUGCCAAGACAUGAGCUGCUGAAUUACAAUUACGGUUCACAAAACUAACAGAACUACAUUCUACUAAAGAUAACAGGUUCUUACAAUCUAAAAUAAAAUGAUCAAUAGCAGCUAUGCUAUGCAAACCAUUCACACAGUCCACCACCAGCUUUGCAUCCAUUUCAAAAAUUACCUUCUCAAGAGCCAAGGCUUUUGCUUCUUGAAUACACCAUCUCAGUCCCAAAACUUCUGCUGUUACGGCAUCCCCACUCAAAGUAGUCUUUUGUGUUGCUGCAUACACCACUUCAGCUGAUGCGUUUCUGAUCACGAGUCCCCAAACAAAUGUGCCAUCUUGGGAUAUACCGGCAUCAAUAUUAGCCUUCAUCCACUCUACGGGGGGAGGAACCCACUCUGCCCUGCUGUCAACAGCAACAGGCACAGUUGACCGCCUGCUCAGGCCACUUAAUUCUUGCACACACUCAUGUGCAUCAUACGCCACAAUCAGAGGAUCAAAAACAACAUUUUCAAAGACUUUUUUGUUUCUAAAAAACCAGAUUUUCCACAAGGUGAUGCAAAACAGUUGAACACCAGUGACAUCAGAACAAGAAAGCCAAUCAUGUAACCAUUUGUUUAUAUCAUCUAUCAACGGAACACGAAUGCCUAGAGGGGAAACAAACCAAACCUGCAAGACUAGAGGGCAAUGCAUGAAGAUGUGGGAAUCCUCCUCCCUCUCUUCGAAACACAAAGGGCACACUGUAUCAACCUCCAACCGUCUCUUGAGAAGAUUGCAUCUAGUUGGUAAAAUCCUCUUUGAAAGGCGCCAAAGAAAAUUGCGAACUUUGUUGGGAACGGGAGCCUUCCAUAUCUUACGCCAUAAAUUACCUUGGGAAGAGGAUGCUUCAGGUUGAUGAAGAAUUCUUUGAGUUGUUUGCAUAUGAUAAGCUGAGCGGACCGAGAACAUACCAUCUUUUUCACUAUGCCAAAGUUGUUUAUCAUCCGGAAGGCUCCAAGGGAGAGAAAUGCUAAGAAUCUGUUGCGCUUCGAAACUAUUGAAAAUCUGAUUGAUCAAAACCGGCUUCCACUGCUUUAAGUCCACAUCUAUUAACUCACUUACUAACGUAUCAGCCCCCAAAAUAGAGACUGGGCUGCAAACUUUGAAACCAGCUUGAUUUGGUAGCCAGUUAUCUCCCCAAAUUUUGAUCUUCUGCCCAUUCCCCACCCUCCACCGCAUGCCUUGUUGAACGAGAGAUCUGGAUGACAAGAUACUUCUCCAUGCGUAGCUGGGCUGAAAACCCGAAGUAGCAUCCAGAAGAGACCCCCUAGGGUAAUACCUGCUCUUAAAAAUCUUCCCCAUUAGAGAAUUCUCAUCAGUUAACAGACGCCAACAUUGUUUACCGAGAAGGGCUUUGUUGAACUCGCAAAAACCUCUAAAUCCCAUUCCACCUUUGGACUUAGAAACUGACAUCUUCUCCCAACUCAACCAAUGCAUCUUUUUUGUCCCUUCCCCCGAGCCCCACUAGAACCGGGCUAUCAAAUUCUCAAUGUCCUUGCAGCAUCCGUCCGGAAUUUUGAAACAACUCAUAACAUAGUUCGGAAUAGCUUGGGCCACUGCUUUAAUUAAAACCUCCUUUCCCGCUCUAGAUAAGCACUUCUCUUUCCAUCCCUUCAAUUUCUUCCAAACACGGUCCUUCACGAAGGAGAAGAUAACCUUUUUUGACCUCCCGAAAACAACAGGAAGACCAAGGUAUCUAUUCUGAGAGUCCACAGUCUUUGCUCCCAUCAUGUUACUGAUUAUAUGCCUCUCGGCUUCAAGCACAUUUCGACUAAAGGUGGCUUCAGAUUUGUCCAUGUUCACAACUUGACCAGAAGACUUUUGAUAGAUGUCAAGAAUAUUCAAAAUGGAUGUUGCUUCCCCUUGACUAGCUCGGGCAAAAAGGAGGCUAUCAUCUGCAAAUUGGAGAUGCGAUAUAUGAGGCGCGCUUCUAGCAACUUUCAGCCCAUGAAUUUGUUUCCCGUUAACCGCUUUGUGAAGAAGACCAGAAAACACGUUAGCGCAUAAAAUGAAUAAAUAAGGAGAUAUUGGGUCACCUUGACGAAGGCCUCGCUCCGGGGUAAAAGACCUACUAGGCUUGCCGUUGAUUAGGAUUUGGUACGAUACUGUUGAGAUACACUUCAUGAUGGUUGUACACAACUUUGCCGGAAAUCCCAUGGAUGAGAUGACCAUAUGGACGAAAGGCCAUUCUAUCCUAUCGUACGCUUUUGACAUGUCUAAUUUCAGCCCCAUCAUACCCUUUUUCCCUUUCCUCUUUUUCUUUAACCAAUGAAAACACUCCAUAGCAAUCAACCCGUUAUCAGUUAUCAAGCGGCCUUGGACAAAACCACUUUGCUCUUCAUCAAUAAUCUUUGGGAGAAUCACCUUAAUGCGAUUUGCUAUUGUCUUGGUGACUAUCUUCAUUACCACAUUGCACAAACUGAUUGGACGAUAGUCUUUCGGCGUCUUUGGGGUUUUUCCUUUGGGAAUUAGAACAAUGAAAGUCUUGUUGAUUGGCUCGGGUGAGAGAUCAUCAUUAAGUAUGCCCAAAACCAGCUUCUGGACAUCACCACGAACAAUGUGCCAAUACUUUUGAUAAAAGAGUGCCGGUAAACCAUCAGGACCUGGUGCUUUAAGUGGAUGCAUUUGUUUGAUCGCAGCUUCAACUUCUUCGCUUGUAAACAUGUCACUGCACCAAAUCUUAUGUUCUUCUGAGAGUCUAUCUUUAACCACUUCACAAGUCUGCUCUAAAUUUAUAGGGUCUGAAGAAACAAAAAGCUCGGAGAAAUAAUUCACAAGCAGGCUCUCUACUCUUUCUUCCCCUUUCCACCACACCCCUUGAUCAUCUCGGAUACUCAAGAUUUCGUUAACCUUCCUUCUUUGAUUGGCUUUAGCAUGGAAAAACUUUGUAUUACGAUCCCCCUCUUUCAACCAAACUGCUCUACUCCGUUGACGCCAUAAAGAUUCUUGGAUUUGAAGAAGUUCCCCAUACCUGCUAUUUAGUUCUUUGUAUCUUCUAUUGUCCUCUGAGCUCCCUGACCACAAAGAGGUAUCCUUAAGGAGAUUCUCAUGCUGAAUGAGAUCUUUUAUAACUUCUCUCACCCUAUACUCUUUGAAAUUUGCAUCUAGUUCCUGCAUAGAUAUGACCUUAUUUUCCCACAUCGAUGAAGAAUAAGACCAUUUGCUUCUGAUGAGCUCUUCGCAUCUCGGAUCCUUGGCCCAACAGUCUUCAAAACGAAACAAGUGAGGUCUGCGUCUAUUGUUUGGUUCCUCGUUAAUAUCCAAUUGGACCCUAACGGCAGCAUGAUCUGAUCCGUACCGAGGCAAAUGCGUGACUCUGAAGGGUGCAAAACGGUUCAAAAAGGCUUCAUUCCCGAGUGCUCUAUCCAACCGGCAUUGGAUGUUCUCAUCAUCACUUCUCCCAUUAGACCAAGUAAAUGGGUAACCUUCAAACCCCAUAUCAGACAAACCAAAGUCUUGCAACACAUUUCUACCUAGAGACAGUUGAGAUGAAGUUCUAGGAUUACCUCCAAUUUUUUCUUCCGUAGAAACAGUAUCAUUCAAAUCACCAAAAAUCACCCACUUGCUAUCUGAAGGAGGGGAAAGUUGGCGAAUUAAAUCCCAAGUCCUCCACUUGUCUGCCUCCAACGGAAAACCAUAGAUACCAGAAAAGAACCACCUCAUCCCAUCUUCACCAUCUUCAGAGGAACCCAUAAUAUGAUUUAGAGAAAAAGAGACAAUAGAGACAUCAACUUGGUCAAGCCAAAACAAAGCUAGACCUCCUGAUCUUUCCCUGCCGGUGCCAAUGCAAUCUACAAAAACACCAGAAUUAAAAUUACAUUUAUGUUUAAUUCUUUCCAUAUCGCCAGCUUUUAACUUAGUCUCCAUCAGGAAAACUAAGUGGGGAUUUUCCAAACGAAUGAGCCUUAACAAGGCUCGAACUGCCCGAGGGUUCCCCAGCCCCCUGCAGUUCCAACUGAGUAUUUUCAUUGGAUUAGGCGGUGUUGGUCAUCCAACACCACCUCUUGAUUUUGUGAACUGUUUUCAUCCCCCUUGUUCCUCUUUUUUUUCUCACCCACACAAAGCUCCAUAGGGUCCACCUCUGUGAUAUUCACAUCCACCAAAUGUCGCUUCCCUAACUCCGCCACUAGAGCCUCUUGUUGUUUCUUCCCUUUCCUUGGAUUUUGUUUGCGAAUUCAAGUCCGGCCUUUUUUAGGUCCCGUCUUUGCCAUUGGUUUUGUGUGAGAUCCCAAAUCAAAAGUUGGGGCUUUGUCUUUUGAUAGCACCACAUUACCAAGAGACUCCGCCACACUUUCCACCUCAUGUUGUGUCUUUUCUAACUCUGCCCGCUCCAUCUCCUUGCCUUGUACUUGUAACUGUUCCACUUCCACCUCCCUCUCCCCACUACGGAUUGGAGUUCCUCUACUAUUGCUGGAAUCGGAAAACAAACUGCGAGUGCAAGAGCUUGAACUCUGCUCUGUUUUUAUUUCUCCCGUAAUUCUUGGCAAAGGUGACGCCCUCAUCCAAAGACCAAAAGGAAGAUCUUUCUCUUCAAUGUCAUCAAAAUCCACAUCCUCGUGCCCUUCCCUUUCAUCGCAGUCUUUAAUCUGAUGCCCCACCCUGCCACAAAUAUAACAGAAAUUUGGCAGCCUCUCGUACUUGAAGAAAACACGCAAGCUCUUCCCCUGAUACUUGAUAACAGUACCCCUUUUGAGUGGUUUCUUCAAAUCAAUUUCAGCUUUGACUCUAAGAAACUUACCCAAACGGUUAACAUCCUUCGGAUCCACCUCAACAAAUUUUCCAAUCGUAUCCCCUAACUUCUUUGAUGUUGCGUCUGUUCUGAGCUUCAAAGGAAGAUCAUAGACUCUGGUCCAGAACUCUGUCGUGUUCAUUUCCAUCUCAGAUGGUUGUUCUUCGCCUGAGAUUUUCUUGAGCACUAACAAAUUUCUAUCAAAGCUCCAUGGUCCUGACUUCAUAACACUAUCCACAUCCCUUUUAGAUGAAAACCUAAACAAAAAGAGGUUUUUGUUCAGAUCUUGUACCUCAACAGGGUUCUUCAGCCUCCAAGAUUGAACAAUCACUUGUUUGAACACCCUUGUGUUGAAAGGGUUAACAAUCCAGAGCUUACCCACCAAAGAGUUCUUAAACGCAUCAUCUCCGGUGACCUCUGUUUCUUCGAGAGCGAAACCCUCUUCUUCCUCCUUCGACAGAUCCACCCUUUUCCAUCCCUCAUUCGUCAUGAAAGCUAGACGAAAGGAGCUCAGAUCUGAACUUUGUUGUCCACGUCAAGCCCACAAAGAAGAAAACCACCGAACAAAACUAAACUGCUGUAACACUAAACUGCUUUGUUGUCCCCCUAACAUGUCUAAUCACUUAGCCAAGCCCUAGAUACAAAAACCAUUACACUACACUGGUUACAUACAAAUUGGACAACAAUGAUGAAAUUUUUUCAAACCAAUUUUUCGUUGAUAUUAAGCUUUUAAAUCUAUUUAAUUAUAAUUAAACUCUAAACUAGCUACUUAAUUAUCUUUAUUUUUUAGGAUAAAAAUGAGUUACUAAUUGAAAUGUAAUUAAUUAUAAUUAACCUCUAAAUUUACUUUUUUUACAACAAGGAAUAUUAACAAUGAGUUAGUCAUUCGAAUUAAUAGAACUUAACAUAGGAGUGUUAAGACGAAAAGUCGUUUGUCAAAUGAACAAAGAAAAUAAAUUGUAAUUGAUGGUUGGAAUUACGUGAUUGAGGUAUAAACUCUGACUCAUUCAUUUGUUUCUAUAUGGUUCAAUUGUAUCGUAUUUUAUUAUGUUAUAAAUUCAAAGACUUGAUAUUAGUUGUUUUGAGAAUGGUGUAAAUAUUAGUGGACGAUCAUAAAAACUAAUAACUAAUUAGGAGUGUAUUCAAAUAUUAUGAUUCAUUGUUAAAUUUAUCUGAAAUAAAGUAUUUAAAAAACAUGGAGUAAUCUUACACUGGUCACAUGAUUAAUUUAACGAUAUAUGUAAGCAUGCUAUAAAUUAGAUGGUAAAUUAUAAAUGCAAUGUUCUUGUCAAAUAAAAAAAAAUGAAAUGUUAAUUUAUAAUGUACACUCAUUCAGUUAACAUUUAAUUUGAUCUCAAAUAACAAUAGGAUUGAACAAUCACGAAAAUAAGAGGACAUUCGUGCAUAAGAGGACUUGGACAAAUGCCUAAUGGUGGGGUAUUGAACAUCGAGUUUUAGGAGUUAUUAUCCAAUAGUGGGGUAUUGACGAUUCAUAUGCAUUAGGUGAUUCAAAAUAAUGUCCAACUGUGGGAUACUGAACAUUAAAUUUUAAGAGUUAAUAUCCAAUGCUGAGGUAUUGCCCAAUGGUGGAACAUUUGGCUCUGCAUAGAUGUGAAGGCCGGAUCACGAGCAUUUGCAUAUAGAUAGACCAAUAGGAACUCAUGAAUUUUAGUCGGAUUUUAACUUGGUGUUAGGGGUGGUGAUUAUGAAACUGGAGUAAUGUGCGAUGUACGUUUCUUUUGUUUGCAUAUAGAUGUACGAUUAUAACUUUUAUGAUCCAUUUCUCUCAACAUAAUUUUACUCUAAUUUUUAUUCUUAUUCCAUUGAAUUCAAUGAUCACACAAGGGAGGCCUACCUCCUACUUUAAAAAACACAAAUCGUGUGACAAAUGCAAAGUGAAAUUACAUCAAAAAACAUCCUAAAAGGGUGAUAUUUAGAAAGCAGGGCCGGCCCUAGAGCAUAGGCCGCGAGUGCGACGGCCUAGGGUCCAUGCCGGUAGGGGGCCCAAAUUUUUUUUAAGAUAAGGGAGGUGUAUAUAGAAAUAUUUGGAUUUCGGGGGAUAUAUAUAGAAACAUUCUCUGCAAAGGCCCAAACUUUGACAUGAUAAAGGAAUGGGCUGACAUCUGUUAGUAUUUUUGGCCCUUUUAGUGAGAUUUGCUAUAUAUAUCCCAUGUAACACAAAUAUUUCUAUAUACACCCUCUUAUCGACGAUAUUUAUUAUCCAAGAAAUUGGGAUAAUUUUCAUAACAAAGCAAAUUCUAUUUUAGUUGAAAAUAGGGUGCUAAAAUUCUAGUCUACUUCACAUGUGCUAUUUUUUUCUACUUCUACGGUAUUUUUAUUUUGUUUUGGUGUAUAUAAAAUAUUUAAUUUAUUUUCAGAUGUUGUCUAAAAAAACAUAACAAUGAGAUAAAAAAAUUAUGAUGCAUUAUAUAAGGGUCCUUUUUUCAUAUUAUGCCUAAGACUCAUAAAACUCUAGGAACGGGCCUGUUAGAAAGAACUGUUCUGCUGAUGUGGAUUUAUUUGGGAAUUUUCGAAUAUUUUUUUCUGAAAAAUAAUUUUAAUAGGGAGUGGCCCAGUUAAUAACCACUUAUUGCUAUGGUUUAGGUAAGUACACCUAUUUAUUGUUAUUAAUUCCGGAUUUGGCUUUUUAAGACCAUGUGAUCUGCAUCUGCUCAUAUCAAGUGGAUGGACGCCGUUUUGCUACAGUAGAUUGAGAAAGUAAUGAUGUCAGGCUACACACAAAAAAUAUUAUAAACACAUACGCUCCACCCUCAAUCUUCCAUUUCCUUCCACAGCUUAAAUGAGAGACACCCUAUAAACAAAUAAAUAAAGUAUAUACACAGCUUAAACUUGUGGACAUAUAUAAUUGUCAUAUUUCCCAUCCAUCUUCCAUUUCCUUCCACUUUGUUUUGCCAGAUCUCUUUUCCCAUAAUUUGAUUCAAUAUUCAACACAUUUCUCUGGAGUUCUCUUAUGUUUUCUUUCCCUGCAGAAUAUUGUGGUGAAAGAGGGGGGUUAUUAGAAAAGCUAUUACAAGAGAAAGUGAUUAAAGACAAACAACAGAUAUGAAGCAAUACUACUGCUGCCAACCACACUACUUUAACCUCUUCAUUCUUUUAUUUUCACAUAUGCAAAGGUAUUCAUCAAAUUUCUGCUAUACAUCAUUUUAUGGUCUUCACUUAUUUUUUCAAGAUUUGGCUUCCUACUGUUGAAUAUACGCUAAUUACUCCAAACUGCAACACUAUGAUAUUUGUACAAUCACUUUGUGAUAACUUUUAGACAAUCUUCCCUCUCAUACUCACAUCAUAUUUUUACUCUCUUUCUUCCUUUUUCUCUCUCCAUUGUUUUUGACCAAUGAAAAGAGAUAAAAUGAAGGUUGUCCAAUAGAUUGUACCAAAUAGUUGUUCAAAUAUCAUUGCUCUUUACUUUUUAAUCUAUUGCAGAUGGCAGCCCUCAUUAUGAAAGCAAAUGAUUUAUUUUCUCUAUAUUGUAUGGAGAGUAAACUUUAUUAUGGUACUCUUCAAAUUCCCGCUAUACAUCAUUUUAUGGUAUUCAUUAAAUCAUACAUAAAUUGGAUUUUUUGACCUAGAAAUCAUACAUAAAGUUGGAUUUUUUUUCUCACUAAAUCAUACAUAACAUACACUGAAAGUUAAACCACAAAAAUUAAGUUUAAAGCUUCGUUUUUCUCUAUAAAUCUAAUCACUAAAUUAUACAAAAGCUAUACUUAAACUUAAACUAAAUAAAUUAUCAUGCAAAGCUGGAUUUUCUUCAUCGAAUGAUAACUAAAGCUAAAAACAACAAUUGAUAUUCACUUUUUAUCCUAUCAUUUUAUGGUAUGCAUUGAAUUUCUAUCAUCUCCUCAUUUUUGCAGUCGCAUGCCCUUAUUAUAAAGUAAAUUAUAUAUUUCUCUAAAUUCAGAAGUUUAAGUGGUAACAUCUCAAUAAGGAGCCAAUUAUAAGUUUUUUAAAAACAUAAUAUUGUUUUAUUGGAAGUUCUUUAUGUAUUCACCAUUUAAAUGCUCACAAGUCAUUUCUACAACCAGCUUUCUAAAAUUUCUAAGUUGUAUAGUAAGUAUGUGGAAAAAGACUUUAAUAGGAAAAGGCAUAACCCCUAUGCAUUCUUUCAACUCAUUCAGAACACAAACCCUAUGCAUUCAGAAAGGGUUGGUUAUGCUUAUCUAACAACAGAAAAAGAGUUAUUAGAUAAAAAAGAAAAACUUACAUGUCUUUGUUUUCAUCAUGUCCACUUUUGACUCCUUGCUGAACUAAUGCUUCUUCCAGAUCCCCAAACUCAACCAUAUCCCAUUGCUAACAAACAAAGAAAAAUCAAACCAAAACAUAUUAAAUAUUAAAACAAAACAAAAAUGAAUUUAAUCAAGCAAGAUGCAAUAAAACAGUAUUCACUAAAUAAGGAGAAAUUAAUUAUUGAAGAACUAUACAUUAAGCUUGAUAAAGUGUUGCUUAUCCUAUGACAAUUUGCAUAAGGGUCAAGAUUACUUGAAUGUCCUAAUUAGAAAUAUUAUUUAAAAUUAGGAACUUUUCAUUUUUGUGUUGGCCAGAAGAUACCAAAGUUGUCAAAAUUACAUUAUUCCACUAUGCUAAUAAGCCUCUUGUCCCAUCACAUCUAUUAGAAAUGCUUAGGCUAUAAAUAUAAAACAAUGUAAAUUGAUUAAAGAAUAAACAACUUAAUUAAAAUGGACUAAAAAACGUACAGUAUGUGAAUCUAGGUGGGGAAGUGGGUGUCUCUCAUCAUAACUCACUAGGUUGCUGCCCUGGAAAUGUGCGUGCAUAUUAACCACAAAAAACAAGAGCAAUCAGUUGAACGCAUAAGAGAUGCUGAAAAGAAUCUACAUGAUGUAUCCUAAUUUAGAAGAAACUCUCAAUUCACAAGUUUUAAAUUUAAUUUGAUUCUUUUCAUGUAAGCAUUCCUUUUUACAGUUCUUAUAUUAAAGAAGCAGUAGUUUACCUAUUAUUGAGCAGUGCUUGCUUGUUAUAUUCGAGUUGUUGAUUUAUAUUCUAAACAGUGCUUGAAGCACCCACACCAGCAAGUUAUAUCCAAAAAUGCAACUUUUCUAAACAUACAUUUAGAAAGAAAACUAACACAUUUUAUGAGCAGUGCUUGCAUUCCAUUCAAGAAUCGUUUAGACAUUCCAAUGUAACUAAAAAACUUACUAGAUAGAUGGGACCACUAAUAGUUUCAUUGCUUUUAAACAUUUCCCAUUUUUCAAUGUCACUGUACCAAAGUCAAUCAGCACUUACCUCUUGUCAUAUCACAAUUCAAAUUUCGAAAUUCCCCCCUAAAUUUUAAAUCACCAACCUUUUGAAACCAUAUAUUCAAAAUCACUUUUCUCAUAUUUUUCAUUCUCACUUUUCUGUUUCCAAACAUAAAUCUUCACAAGAUAAAUUUUUAAAAUUUAUGUUGGUAAACUAUGAGAAUUACUAAAUUACUAAUUCGUUUAAGACAUAAAUCCUCAACAAAAUAAAUAACUCAUUUCGAUAUUAAUUUCUUGCAGGAAAUGUUGAUUGAGUGGGCUUGUAUGUUGCCUAAUUUUUUUUUGAAAAAUAUGAUAGUUUGCAGCAAAAUCAUAUGACGUUCAUGUCUCUUACACAAAACUACGGAUAAAGACAUUUCAUGAAGAAAUAAACUGAAUACCUUGAUUUUAUUUUGCAGAGUCACAUUCCACUACUAGAAAAUUCAUUUUUAGCGACGGAAAUUUGUGAGGGUUUAAUUUCCGUCGCAAAUUGUGACGGAUUUUGUGAGGGGUACUCUUUUGAUGUCAUUAGCGACGGAUUUUACGAGGGUCUAUGUCGUCGCUAUGUAUCCGUCAUAAGUUCCAUAAAAAUGUGACAUUACGUAGUUUUGUGAGGGAUUUAGCGAGGGUUUUAUUCCAUCGAUAACUAUUCCGUUACAUAUUCCGUCGAAGAUUCCCCAAAUGGUUUGCGACGUCCUUGAAUGUCGUCUCAAAGAGAAUUUCGCGUUUUUUUAUUAAAUGAUGAAAAAUGUGAAUUAAUUAAAACUUCUAGGUGAGAUGAGACUUGAAGCCACGACCUUGGAAUAACAAUCAAGACAACCUACCACCAGGCCUUGGUGCCUUAUUUGUUGUUUCUUUUAAUUGUUUUUUAUUAGUACUUGGUUAUGUUAGGUUUUUUUUUUUUAGUUGGUUUUUAUUAGUACUAAGUUAUUUUAGGUUUUUUUUUUUUUGUUGAAAAUCUUUCCUUUUCUUCCACUAACAAACACAUGACCCCACUAAUUUGCACUUUUUUCCUUCAUUUUUACUUAUUUUUUAUUCAAAUCUAAAUUUGGCUUAAAUGUAUUUUUGGUCUUCCUAUUUACAUAUUUUUGAAGUUUUAAUACCCUUAUUUCAAAAACCAACAUUUUGAUCCUCUGUUAAGAAAGUCAACGGAUAUUUUUUGUCCCCCAACAACUUCAUUGAUGUGACGCUGACUUGGGACAAUGAUUUGAAAACUAUAUUUUUAUUUUACUUAUAUAUUACAAUAUUACUAUUCAUUAUAAAAAUUUCUUCAACAAAUCUUCAUCUUCAACAACCAACAAUCACAUACACAUUUGGGGGUUGAGUUUUAAGAGUGUUGACGAUAGAUUGUGAUUAAUCUUGUGUUAGUGUUGAAUGUUGAUGGUAAAGAUGGAGGCAGUUAUUUUAAUUAAUUUAUAAUAUAAAAUAAAAUAAAUAAUAAUAUUAAUCAAUAAUAAUGACAUGGAAAAUAUUUUUUAUACCUCAUUAAUACACGGUCAGCACCAUGUCAUUAACGAGGAUGUGACAUCAUCAAAAUUUGCGGGGGAUCAAAAAAUAUUGUCGACUUCCUUAAUAUAGGGAUCAAAAAGUUGAUUUUUAAAAUAGGGGAUUAAAACUUCAAAAAUGUUCGACCAAAAAAAAAAACUUCAAAAAUAUGUAUAUAAAAAACCCUAAAAAGAAAAUUAUAUCCGUUACACCACUAUUAUAAAAAAAUUAAAAUAAAAGAAAAAACAAAUAGGAAUAGUUGGACAACUUGCACCAUUUUCUACUUAUCCAACCUUUCUUUAAUUAUUAUUAUUUUUUAACAAGCAAUGUAAAAUUUGUAAUGUUAAUUUUUUCAUUUUCAAAUUAUUAUCAAAUGUGGUAGAAAUUUAAGUUCAUACGAAUAAAUAAAUAUUUGAUAAUUUUUUUAAGGAUUGUAAUUAAAUAUUAUGAGGUAAUUUAUAAUUUAAUUAAUAAAUUAUUUUUGUUUAAUGAUGCAAGUGGGACAUAUUUAUGUACUUUUCAUUUGAGUUUUUUUUUUUUUUUUUUUUCCAUUUGAGUUCUUAAUAGGUACUUUUAUUAAUAUAUUAUAAAUAAGUGACGUGUAACGUGGGGUCCAUUUAAGGAGUCCCUAUUAAGGAACUACCAUUAUGGAUGCUCUAAAGGAUUGAAUGUGAAAAAUGUGAAUGUGAAUUUACUUGUGAAUUUAUGUUUUAAUAUCACUUUAUUAUUAUUGUACAAGUAUCAUGCUUUGUACUUUUUUUUAUCUAAAUUAGAUUGUGAUGGUGAAUGUGAAAAAUGCAAAAAUGAGAGAGUUAUUGAAACGCACCGUUCAACUUGUAAAAUAAAAAAUUAAUAAUAAUUAAAAAAAAAUUAAAUUUAUGAAACUAGUAAUCAAUUAUCCAGCGGUAAUAUCUACCAAAAAAAAAAACCAUUUUCCCUUGUUAUUUUUUUUAACAAACAACUAUUUUCCCUUGUUAUUUCCGUCUUUCCUCUAAAACUUUCGCUCUUUGUUCUGUUCCUCCAUAACUUCACUUUUUCUUCUUCUCUUCCUUUUUCCAUCAAAUCAUCAAUCUACUUCCACAAAUCAAUUACCCAUAAGAAAUAUUAUUGAUCUAAGCAAGCUAUUAGUUUUUAAUCCACUGAACCAGUACAAACACAACCACACAUUCACAUUUUCUUUCUUUUCAAUUAAAAAACAUAACACAAAACCUUUUCUCUCUUAUCUCUCUCCCGUAACCCAUUCUAUCUUCUCUCCAAAUUGUUUUGUGCUCAUUUCCAUCCCCCAUUGCACUUUUUUUUUUUCCAUUUUUGUCACCAUCACUCCUCUAAUUCUCAUCAAAUGUUCUACAAUUAGUGUUAAGUUGAGAAGUGGAAAUACAAAGUAAUGGAGGGUUUGAUUUUUGGUGUUCCUUGAGGUAAAAUUUUAUAAUUGAUAGAAUGUAUUGGUGAUAUCUAGCUUUGAUCAGUAGUAGAAACUAGUAUAUGUAGAAUGAUUUAGAUUUUCAUAGAUUCCUUUUAAACCCUAAGUCUAGAAAAAUUGGGGGUUUUACCAAAUUCUUUUAUCUAUUGUUAAUUCAGCUGUAAAUAAGUAAGUCUUUUCAAGAGUUAUAAUGAUUGUGUAAUGUUCAGAUUCGGUGGAAAUCGCUCCGAUGGCCGUUCCGGAAGGCAUUGCACGGAAUGGACUUGAAGCUUCAUAGUUGUGAGUAGCUAAAAUACCUUGUGGCAUGUUUUCAUAAGUAAAAAUGUUGUUUUAUGGGAGAAAUAAAUAAUCUUUUUAAAAGAGAAUCUCAUUUUCCUCAAAAAAAAUAAGAUUUCACUAUUGUGUUUAUUCAAUUACAAGGAUGUGAUUUUGAUGAUUACAAAUUUGAUGAUAAUUGGUGAUAAUGUGGAUAACUGGUAACACUGUUGUGAGGGUUUCAAUCCUAUGAAUUAACUUGUCAUAAGGAAACAUUCAAUCAUAAAAGAGUUACAAGUUCCAAAGCAAAGCUCCUAGUGUGAUGUCCGGUUUAUCCUAUAUUAAUUACAUUGCUUGUAUUGCAAAGGAUAUAUAAGUGGCUUCCUGAGCAUGAUCAAGACAUAAAGAAGACUUAUCAUCAUAAGGCAUCUGAUGGUUACCAAAAUACAAUGUAUCGGGUACGAAGAGGAAUGGACAAAGGCGAAUGGAUCCCUGCUAUAUUGCGUGAAAAAUUGGAACAAAAUUAGGAAGAUAGUAAAUGGAAGGACAAAGCAGCAGUUAAUAAGCAAAAUAGAAGAUCCUCUAAUGGUCCAUUGCACACUUGUGGGUCAAUUCCAACAAUUGAACAUUCUAAAAGAUUAGUAAGUAAACAAAUUAUAUUUGCAGUAAAGCAUAGUGAUUUAAAUUAAUAAUAAUACUAAUCUAUUUAUUUUGUACUAUAGAAAACUGACUCAAACAUGACUCCAAGUUGUUGGGAAAUGUAUCUAAAGACACACAAAAUGAAAGGUGAUCCAUCAAAGUGGGUAUCCCCCAAAUCUCAAAUGGUUGCGAUAAGUUACAAUUCGAUGAUAUUAUCAUUUCCAGCCCUUUGUCAAAUGAACAUAAAACAAUUGAAAAUUUUCUAGAAUUAGUUAUAUCCUUUUGUGGACUUGGUAUGCUGGUGGCAAGUCAAGGUAAUUGGAAAAACUUAAAAAAAAGUAUUUAUAAUUGUCCUCAUGUGUAUUGAUGCAUGCUGCUACAUUAUAACUCUGCCAUCAUGUGCUAUAAUUGUUUUUGGUUAUCUAAUCAUGUAUAUUGUUGUAUAUUACAUGCUUUUGUGCCAUAAUUUUUAAUGUUAUGCAUGAUUAUUAUUGUUCAUCAGGUUCUGACAUCUGAACAUGAUAAUCUAAUGUUUCUUCACUUGGAAAGAAGUCAUGAUAACUUGGUUAUUAGUUAAAAACUAGUUUUAAUUUGUUUAACUUGUUAUUGGUUGGUUUAUAUAUGAAUUUAAUUGUAGUAAUUGAUUUAAUUUCAUAUUUUUGUACGUAAGAAUUAAGACAAACUCUAAUUUUGUAGGAUGAAUAUGAAAGACGGAUUUUUGAAAGGAACUCGCAAUAAACAGAGGGGGAUGAUGUGUCUAAUGACCAUCAAUCAGACAACUUCAUCUUCUUGGACGUAGUUGGAGGAGUCGACAAGAAAGGACGUAUUUAUGGUUUGGGGACAGAGGCAGGAAAAUACAAGCCUUCUUCAUCCAGGUCAUCUGAUGGCAUCUCACCAUCUGAAUAUGAGCAUAUGAGGACUGCAAUAUCUAAAAUGUCAGCUGAAAACAUGGAACUCAAGGANNNNNNNNNNNNNNNNNNNNNNNNNNNNNNNNNNNNNNNNNNNNNNNNNNNNNNNNNNNNNNNNNNNNNNNNNNNNNNNNNNNNNNNNNNNNNNNNNNNNNNNNNNNNNNNNNNNNNNNNNNNNNNNNNNNNNNNNNNNNNNNNNNNNNNNNNNNNNNNNNNNNNNNNNNNNNNNNNNNNNNNNNNNNNNNNNNNNNNNNNNNNNNNNNNNNNNNNNNNNNNNNNNNNNNNNNNNNNNNNNNNNNNNNNNNNNNNNNNNNNNNNNNNNNNNNNNNNNNNNNNNNNNNNNNNNNNNNNNNNNNNNNNNNNNNNNNNNNNNNNNNNNNNNNNNNNNNNNNNNNNNNNNNNNNNNNNNNNNNNNNNNNNNNNNNNNNNNNNNNNNNNNNNNNNNNNNNNNNNNNNNNNNNNNNNNNNNNNNNNNNNNNNNNNNNNNNNNNNNNNNNNNNNNNNNNNNNNNNNNNNNNNNNNNNNNNNNNNNNNNNNNNNNNNNNNNNNNNNNNNNNNNNNNNNNNNNNNNNNNNNNNNNNNNNNNNNNNNNNNNNNNNNNNNNNNNNNNNNNNNNNNNNNNNNNNNNNNNNNNNNNNNNNNNNNNNNNNNNNNNNNNNNNNNNNNNNNNNNNNNNNNNNNNNNNNNNNNNNNNNNNNNNNNNNNNNNNNNNNNNNNNNNNNNNNNNNNNNNNNNNNNNNNNNNNNNNNNNNNNNNNNNNNNNNNNNNNNNNNNNNNNNNNNNNNNNNNNNNNNNNNNNNNNNNNNNNNNNNNNNNNNNNNNNNNNNNNNNNNNNNNNNNNNNNNNNNNNNNNNNNNNNNNNNNNNNNNNNNNNNNNNNNNNNNNNNNNNNNNNNNNNNNNNNNNNNNNNNNNNNNNNNNNNNNNNNNNNNNNNNNNNNNNNNNNNNNNNNNNNNNNNNNNNNNNNNNNNNNNNNNNNNNNNNNNNNNNNNNNNNNNNNNNNNNNNNNNNNNNNNNNNUUUUAAACAAGUAUGUAAAAAAUCAUUAAAAAAAUUAAAAUUUUAAGCAUAAUUAAACAAAUUUUAAUUUAACAGGGACUAAAAACACUAACGGAAAAUUUUGUAGGGACUAAAAAGUGUGAUUUAUUUUUAUAGGGACUAAAAACAAAACUGCAGAUAUUUAUAGGGACCAAAAGCUUAAUUAACCCUUAUUUCAAUAUAUUUUGAUGCAAAAGAUAAGUAGUGUGAUUUUUGUGAACGCAAUCAAAAAAGGUUUUCAUCAAAUAUUAAUGUGAAUUUUAUCGUAUUUUAUCAUAUUAAUGUAUUUUAUCUUAUGAUUUUUUAUCACCUUGUUUUAUAUUCCAAAAGUGUUUUGAGAAAUAAUUGAGAAAUUUUUUAAACUAAUUUUAAGGGAAAAAAAAAAAAAAAACUUAAUUGUGACGGAAAAUAUGAAAGUCACAAAUAUUUUGUCUUGCAGUGUAGCGUCAGAUAUCAUAGCGUCGCUAUCCAAAUUCCCAGAUAUUUUGCGAGGGAAUUCUUCUCUCAGUUAUUUGCAACGGUUUUUUCCCACAGUGAUUUGUGACGGAGAAUUUUAACGUCGGUAUUUUGUGACGGAAAAUUGGCUUACAUAUAUCCAUUUUGUGGGAGGUUUAGCGACGGAAUUUUGGUAUUUGCGACCGUGUCUGUGCCGCCGCAAUUAGUGACGGAGUUGAUAUUCCCUCGGUCAUUUUCUCCGACCCCCAUUAUUACGACGGAUUUAUGGAGCGUCGCAAAACCCGUCAGAAAGUUGUUUGCUACGGAAUUUUAACGCUUUUGCGACGGAUUACGGCCGUCGCUAAAUCCUUGUUUUCUAGUAUUGUUCAAAGAGUUCUUAUUUUAUUCAAAAGUUUGAAUCUUUUAUUUUUUAUAUAUAAAUAAAAUAUUAUGUCUAACAAACUGUGUUUAACAAAAGGUCCAAAAAAAAAAAAACAUAAUAUUAUUCUUUAAAUUAAGAAGAUGAUGAAGAAACAUAGAUCCAAAAACAUUUUCAACAAGAAAACCUUACCCUUCUCACAUCAAGAGUUUUAGUUCACUUUUUCCUCUUGUAUGAUUUUACCAAACUAGAUUUCUGUUCUUCCACUUCAUUUUGCAGGAAAUUUAAAACUUUCUCUCUUUUCCACCCUUAGAUCAGAUGGUUUCACAAAUCUUAUCAUAGUCCACCAACACUAAAUCAGACAUACAUCACUUCCCCUCUCUCUGUGUUACUCAGUCUUAAGCAAAAACAACUGUCUUUUUCCUCACAAUUACACUAUCAUAAGACUUACUUGAUUGUUUAAAACUUUUGCAUCAACUUUCUCACAAUAUUUUUUUGAUUUGGAUCUCAAUCUAUCUAGAAAACACUUGAUGAUGUUCAACGUUGGUCUGAGAACGAGGAAUCGAGGAGCAUCUGACUACCACAUAGUUGGCAACUUUGCAUCAACUUUUUUUUCCUCAUUUAUUCUUUGAACAUUUAGGCUGUGUUUGGAACCACUGAAAGAGUAAGGAAAGAAGCUGGGUAGGAUGGAAAGUUUAUAGGGAAGUGUGCUUCCAUGUUUUGGAACACCAAAGAAAGAGUGAGGAAUGAUAAAUUUUGAUGGGUCCUACAGCAGGAAAACUUUCCGUUCAAAUUUGAGAAGAAAGCAUGAAGAGAAUAUUCAAUGUUUCAAAUGGACAGUUAUGCCCUUGCUUUGGAAGAAGUGCAUGAGUUAUUUACAAUUUUGCAAUAGUAUUAUACUAGCAACUUGAAACAAAUAUUUAACAACAAUGUUAAAUCAAUAAUUUAAUUAAUAAAUAACCAAUACACUAAUAUUUUAUUUUAAAAUAUUCUAUAGAUAUAUGCAUGUAUUUAUAUUAGUAUACAUAUUUUAAAUUAACAUUUUAUUCAAAUGUAGGGACAUCUAUGUCAUUUACUAAAAUAUAUCUAAUUCUUUCCUCUCACUUUCUUUUCACUUUCAAUUAUACCAAAAAACCAAACAAUCAUCUCACAUUCCUUUCCCUUUCUAUUCACUUCCAAUCCUUCUACUUUCUUUCCUUAUACUUUCUUUCCUUUGGACAUCCAAACAAAGCCUUAGGCUAUGUUUCGUUGAUCAAAGAAAGUAGAAGGAAAGAAAUUGAAAGGAAGGAAUGAGAGUAGAAAGAGAGAUGAUUUUAUUAGUUAUUUGAUAUAAAAGAAAGAUGAUGGAAAGAAACAUAAAAAAUAAAAAAAUAAAAAAUGUUAGAUUUAGUAAAUUACAUAACUACCCACGCAUUAAAUCAAUAUGUAUUUACUUAUAUUAAUAUAUAUUUAAUAUUAUAUCCAAAAAAAUGUUCCAAAAAAAAAUAAUGCAAAAAAUAAGAACAUGGGAUAGUAACAAAAAAUUAUCAAAUGAAUGCCACUAAAAAAAAAUAAGAGCUGGAAUUUUUUUUUAAAAAAAAGAACAUUAUAAAGGUAAUAAAGUAAGGGUAUUUGUGUCUUUUCAUCUUAUAAAUGAGUUUCUUCUUCACUUUUUGCUCAAUCGGACACAUAAACAAUUUUGUAGUGGGCCCCAUCAAAGAUGCUUCUUUCCUAUGUCUUUUCAUGGUGUUCCAAACUAUGGAAACCCCUUCUUUCCACUUUAUUUCUCUCCAGUCACAAUCUUUCCUCCUUCUAUCAAUUGAAAAAAACAAACCCUUAGGAUUUAGGGUUAGGGAUUAGGGUUUAAGCAUCACUUGUCCAAGGCAUCACUUUUUCAAUCCAAACCAGUUAUUAAAAUUUAACAUUUUAAAAAUCAUUGAUCUUUUUAAUUCAAAUAGUAUACCCCCUCUGAACAUUUUUAUAAGAAUUAAACAAUUUUUAGGUUCAUUGAAUAACUAAUGUUUCUGGUCUAUAAAUUUGGUAAGAUGUGUUUAAUGUUUAUCAUUCAACAAACCUAAAUUUUUUUAUUUUUUUUAUAAAUGUGACUACAAAGAGUACAAGGCAUCACUUUUUCCGAUAAAGGCAGAAUAAUUUGAUUAUUAUUAAUUUGAUUUCAGCUGUUAUUUUUUGUUUGUAUGUAAGAAUUAUUCCUCACUUAGGUGUUUACUACACUUAUUUACGAGUUUUAAUAAUGUUAAUUUUUUUUAUAGUGUUUGAAUGUUGUAUUUCUACUUUAAUUUUUAGGUUAAUUUUUUAUUUUUUUAUGUAUUUCAUUUGUACUAAACAACGGUUGGUUUUACCUUGUCUUUUUGUUCAAUGAAAAACCAAAAUAAAUAAAUUACUUUUUAAUUUAACUAUGUUAGCAUUUUCUUUUAACUAUAGCAUUGACCUUAGUGUUUGUUUUGAUUUCCGUCACUUUUACCCAAACUCACAUUUAAAAUAACAGCAACGCCGAUGUUGUAUAUAGUAGCUUUAAUCAUUAAGCGGUUAAGAUGUAUUGGGACAUGGUAUUGACCCAGAUACCACUUAUCCAAACAUAACAUUGGUGUAAAUCAAUUUUAGAUGGUAGUCAUUGUAUCCUAUGGUUCAAUUCAAAUUUAUACAAAUAAAUUAUUGACAAAAAAGAUUUAAAAAAAUAUAUUGAGUUGUAGGAAUGAAUCAUUUGAUUCAAUAUGAUUUAGUCAUAUAGUUAUGUGAGUGAAUCAAUGGUUUGACUAUUGAUAAAGAACUCUCAUUGAUUCAAAUUUUAAAAAUUUAAUGGUGUGUGAAUUUAAUGGUGAUGAUUUUUUUAUAUGUUGGAGAAAAGUGUAGGGUGUCCAUUGAGUAGAAAUGACUUUUUUUUUUUAAUAUGUUACUCAUCAAUAAAAGAUAUACAAGAAAAUAUUUUGUCAAUGAUAAAUGGCUUAAUUAAACAUCCGAUCUCUUAGCUUAAUUUUUUUUUUUUAAAUGGGUCACAUAACUAUUAAAAUUUGCAUUGCGGUACUUUACUUUUGUUUCCGUGAGUCAAUUUGGUCUUCCGUUAAUUUUAAUCCCUUAAUAAAAGAGAUUAUUUUCUUCAUUUUCUUCCUCAUUUUCAUCUUCAUACAACCUUCAUCAUCUUAAAAAAAACCCAAUUUUUUCAUUUAAAAAACUCAUCAUUCCAACUUCAACAAUAACUACAUAAUCAAACUCUUAAAUCUAGAAUUAACACCACCACCAUCAUCUAACUCAAAAUUAAAACUAACACCCAUGUAUCAAAUUCAUCACAAGGGUACGGGCACGGGCACGGGCAUGUGUAUUUUUUACAAAUGCGGGUAUGGGGAAGGACAUUGUAGUACCCUACUCAAUUAGUAUGUCAUGGAAGAUUUUCUAAUCCAGAAAUAUUUAACUAAGUGUUUGUUUGGUUAAGCGUUUUAUGUUGUUAAAGAAUGUUACGGAAAAAUGGAAGGAACGCACAACAAGAGAGAGGAAAAAGAUUUCAUUUGAUGGUUUUUUUGUUAGUUUUUUUUUACUAUUGUGUUGGAUUGAAAUGUUUCUUUAAAUACAAUUAAAAAGAUAAUUUAAUCAUUACACAUUUAAAAUUAAUUUUGAUUCAAACUAUGCAAACAACAUUAACUCAUGAGAAUCACUUUUAAUAAGUGUAUACAAACACAAUUGAUUCACAUCCAACUUACUUUUAACUAAAAUCAAUUCUUACAAACUCAAUUAUAUCAAAAUCAAUUCCCGUCACCGUUAAACUAAACAUACACUAAGAGAGUUGGUUUUCAAAUUUCUUAUAAUGUUUGCAUGGAUUUAAGUUUAAAUUUAAAACAGACUAGACUGGCUUGUGAGGUGUAUAAUUCUGUCUAAAAACAAGUUAACCAAAACUCAUUUAAGAAUUGGUUGUCUCUAAAGUUUUUUUUAGUGGAUUAACUUAGAGUUGUCUUCAUAUAAUUUUCACAAUCUUCAAUUGUUUAAUGAUUUUUCAAACUAUGUGAUUGAAUCACAUCUUGUCCCAAAUGUUUUCACUUCAAUCACUACUCAAAUAACUAAUUUUCGUUUUGCCGACAAAAUGUGCAGAUUUUCUCCAUUUAUUAUAUACACCACUAAAUAAAGAAAAUAGUAGUGAUGAACAUGUCAUUUAUGUAUCUAAUAUCAACAGUAAAUUGAUCCAAGUGAUAAGGAAUUUUAGCCCCUCAAGCAAGUAGUUAGAGGUUUGAUCGCUGACUCUUGCAUUUAAAGAAAAUUUAGUUGGAAGGGAACAACCCACCAUGUAUAUCCCAAGAUUUUUCAAUAGAGAUUAAUCACAACUAAACAAUGGUGAAAACUUUGCACUAACAACACGUUAUCCCUAAAAUAAAUAUUGCGUCAUUAGUUUAUCCUUUGAAGACCAAAAAACUCAGUUGAGAAAACCAUUUCUACUUAAAUCAAGUACAACUUUGUUACGCAUAUUAAUGCAAAAAAAGAGAGGUAUACAUGGUGUUCUUAAGCCUAAAAGGUUUGCCAUGAAAAAUGGUUACUUUUAAGAAGUUAAGGAUAGGUAAAAAAUCAUGGGUAUCUAAAAAACGGUUGUGUGAGAAAGGUUGAAUCACGAAAAAAACAUACAAAUGAGUUGGUCACCACAUUAAACCCAAACAUUUCGAGAUCAUGUGAAAAAAACUUUAGAGUAUUUUUUUAAGUUCGAUCCAGCUGGUCAACCUGCACCACCCUGUCACCGCCCUAUUUUUUAGUGAUUUAGGUAGGACGAGCACCCUACUAAUGACGGGAUCAAAAUCUUAACCCACCCCACCAAAAAAGAUAGGUAAAAUGGGCCAACCCGACGGGGCCCAACCCAUCUUGUCAUCCAUAGAUUCAAGUUAUUGAUAAACUCUAUCAAAGAACGAAUUAUUUAAAAGAACUUAUAUUGAUUUUUUUUUUUUGAAAAAGUUGAAAUUAAAUAUAUAUUAACCACAAAGGACUCAAAUAUGAAAAAGAGCAAAAAUCAUGAGAAUUAAGAGAUAAUAUUUAAACAAGGAAAUAAUUAAGCCUCUAAUAAUGAUGAUCUAAAUUGAAAGUAACACACUUCGAUUUCAACCACCAUAAAGCAUGGGCUUAACAUUUUCACAUAAUUUUUGCAAAUUACUUUAGAAAAUAUGUUUGUUCUCGCUCUUUCCAAAUAACCCACAAUACUUAAAUCUAUAUGAUUUGAAAAAGUCAACUUAACACACUUGGAGAAAACCCUAGCAUGCUAAACCGUACCUUGAGAAAUCAUUGUAACACCAAGCCAUCUUGUUAUCAACUGCCAAAGCUUACCAUAUAAAUCGCAUCUUACUGACAGAUGCUCCAUAUCUUUAAUUAUCCCCACGCUCAUAUGCAAGUCCGGUCAUUAAUAAUUAAGACAUCGUGCCUUACCGAAUUGGUUUUUGUAGGUAAGCGAUUACGAAGAAGACGUCAAGCAAAUACAACGAUUUUUAAUAUGGUAACAAUUUUUAAUUGAAUAGGCGAACUACUAUCCGGUUGAUUAUCCCCACCAACUGCAAUCAACAAAUUAUAGACAUUACUCACAUUAUAACAAUGAGAGAAGUGCAUUAACCACACCCAACGAUCCUCCUUAUUGACCUGCAAAAUCACUGUUGUUAAUAGACCUACACACUCCUCUAACAAGUCUUCCUCCCAAGCAAACAGUCUUUGAAGCCACCUCCAUGCAACCCCUUCUGUCCCUCACUCUAACAAAUGCAUAUUUAUCACCACAUCCAAUUUAUUACCAGCGAGUUGUAUUUAAUUGUACUAUUCAUCCUACCUGAAUUUUGUACAGAAUUUUUAUUUAUUUUCAUUGUAUAAAUAAUUUACAUAGGGGUAGCUCAUCUAAGCUAGAUUUUUUUAGUAGUGUAUGUUUAUUAAAAUUUACUAAAGUACAUAUUUAAAAGAAAGUCUUAUCGAUGAUUUGGUGUUUUAAGUGUGAGGCACUAGGUAGUAAUGAUAUCAAUAAAACUAGAUUGAAUUAAUAUUCACUUGAAAUGGUUUUGUCUUUUUAUGCAUCUACUUGCUAUAUCUUCCCCCAGUUCUGUAUAAUCUGGACCCAUGCAAAAAUUGGUCCUACGUGGACCAGUUUUUUCCACCCUUAGAUUAGAUGGUUCCACAAAUCUUAUCAUAGUCCACCAACACUAAAUCAAACCUACAUCAUUUCCCCUCUCUCUGUGUUCCUCAGUCUUAAGGAAAAACAACCGUCUUGUUCCUCACAAUUACGACAUUCAAAAUAUAAUCUACCUAGACAUAUUCCUUUUUCUAAUCACUCAAACUUUAAUUUUUUUAAAUCUUAUCGCCAUUCUUUCUAUUGCUUAAUCAAAUGAUAUGCUUUGUCUUAUUACAUAGACCUUAAUUCAUUUAAAUCUUAUUUUCAUUCUUGUAUUCAUAAAAUUUAAGUAUUACAUAAAUAGUUUUCAUUUUGGCAGUAUUUCAAACAAAUCAAUCAAGCGUAGUUUUAAUCGUGCAACGCACGGGUAUCGGUAUCCUAAUUCCACACAAAUCUAUAGCGGUAUAGCUAGGCUAUAACAGUUACUCCCUCCAUCCCUUACUAUAGGAACGUCUAACAAAAAUAUGGUAUUAAGAAAAUCGUUGGACUAAUAAAUUACCCUCUACAAAUAUAAGAUCCAAUACCAAAAUUUGAUUUUCCCUAAAUAUAAAACCCUCUACAAAUUUCUAUAUGCACUUAUUACUCAUUUUCCCCAAAUAUAUUUCUUACUAAUACUAUCAAUUUAUCUUAUAAUGUAAAAAGUAAACAUUAAGGCUGUGUUUGGUAACAUAGAUAAGCUAGCUUAUAGCUUGUUAGAUUAGCUUAUAAGCUCGUUGGAUGAAAACGUGACGUGUUUGAUAACAAGCUUUUCUUAUGAGCUUAUAGCGUUUUUUGAAAAGUUAAUUCAAGUAACUUUUUAGCUUAUAGCUGGUAGCUUUUUAUAUUUUUUUUUCUCUUGGUCAAAAUCCUAUUGGAUCUUUUUCUUCCUUUUGCUAAAAGAUCAUUGCCUUCUGCUACCCAACUUAUUUGUUCCCUAUGUUCAUGAAGCUCCAUUCACUCAUAGUAAUUGCCCAAGCUCCAUACACUUUCCAAUUCUAAACAUCACAUUUUUACCAUCAACAGAACCACCACACUAACUGAUUUUCUUCUCUCAUUUUUACCAAUUGAAUCUGAGUUUAAAUCCGAGUUCCUACUCAAGUUCUUCCUUUGGAGUCUGAAUCUGAAUUCAAGAAAAAGGGUAGAAGAGGGUCAAAGAAAAAAGGGUUGAAUUUGGAUUCAGAUUCACUGCAAAUGACAUUUCACAUGGUCACUGCAAUAAAAAAACAACCUCCAUUGGAUGUAUAAAAUUGUACUUCUCUCUCGUAGUUGUCCACGGAGCUUCCUCCUCACCGACCAGCGCACCUCAUCUCCGAUCCAUCUUCUUCCACAACCGCAACAUCACUCUCAAAUCUCGUGACCAACUGAGAAUUUAUGUUCAUCAACCCACUUUUGUUCCUGUUUGCAACUUUUCUUUUUAAUGUCAAAAUCGUCAUAACUGAAAAUUGUAAUUUUUUUAUAGCGAGUCAAAAUCACAAGUUUCGUGAAAAGAAUAAUGAGGUAGAGGAAAACACAUGAACAUAUUGACUAAGAUAAAUUGCUUUGAAGGUUGUUGCUGAUGAAUCAUACGUGGGGUGGUUGUUAGGGUGUUUAGCGAUGAGUGAGAUAUGAAGGUGAAUUCUUAUAGUGCAGCACCAGACAAUACAUAAUAGUACAUGUUGAGAGUUUGAACCUCAAACCCCAUCUAACAAUUCUAUAUGCAUGAGUGUAAAGCUUUAUGGUUUGGUUUUCAAUUUAUCAUUUUUCUUGUUUCCAUGACUCACUGAACAUAAUUUAUCUAGUAGAACUCAAUGGCAGGUUUGGGAUGGUAAAAUCCUCCUUCCAAAAUAUCAUUUGCUUCCGCCUACUGGUUUAGAAUUCAAUGUUGCAAAAAUUAGACUCAGAAGUAAUUUAUGCUUAUGCAUUAGUAUUGUUUCUUUUUUUUUUACUUAGAUUUGAUUAUAUAUAUAAGAAAAUUUGCAUGAGUAUCAGUUACAAAUUAUAAUAAAAUCUAAUGUAUAAUCAGAUGCUAGGAUCAUAACUUAGUUAUAAUUACUUAGCUUCCUUCACCGUCUGUGCUUGAGAUAUAUGAUGAUUAUGGGCAAUAUUUAGAUUAACAUUACAUAAAAUGUAAAAUUAAAUAGUACCAACCAGAAAAUUUCAAGUUAUUAUUAUAAAAUGAAACAAGAAAAUACACAUUGAAGGGGUAAACGGAUUAGAAGAUGCUACAAAGAUACAAGACUUACAAACAAACAGAGUUCACCAAAACUAACGCUUAUAGCUUUACCCUUAUUUUUAAGCAUAUACUCCUCAAAACUAAGCCCCUCAAAACAAAAACAAAAAACGGAUUAGAAGAUGUUACAAGUAUACAAGACUUGCAAACAAACAGAAACUAAGCUCCUCAAAAAACGAAGUACACACUUACAGGGCCGGACCCCAGGGGUGCAAGCAGCUCUACAAAACCGGGCUACAAAAUUUUGGGGCUCAGAUAUUUUCUUAUUUUUAUAAUGCAGGUUGGAGUAAGUAUGUAGUAUUAAUGCUUAAAGAUUUCCAAACUUGCAUAUAUACUCUAGUGAUUGCAAUUUGUGUUGAUCCACUCAUGGUUCCUGGGUACAACUCUCAGCCAGGAUUAAUGUUUUUUUCUUUUAAUUUUUUUUUUUUUUGGUCUGUUUUAUUAGCAAACACAUUAGAACCUUUUUUUUUUCAUUCAUUCAUGUUAUUUUUUUGCCCUAACUUAUAGUAUAAAAUAACAAAAUUAUACUAUUUUUGUAAAAAAUAAAACUAAACAAACGUUAUAAACAUUUUUUUUCUCUUUAAAAAAAAUUGAGUUUUUUUCCCUAGGGGCCUCUCUUUAUUUUGAGACGACCACAAAUUUCAUAGGAGUUAACUCUACAAACAACAAUAUUAACUGCAUGUUUGUUUGGUGUCGUGGCUUUGUCGAAAUCACAACGAGUUAACAUGAUUUGCAAAUGCUACAAAGUGAUUUUAACAAAUUCAUCUUGAUACAAACAUACACUAGGUUAGAGUUCAAUUUUUUGUCUAAUUUGGAUGGAUUCCUUGCAAUAAGGAGAUUACACAAUCAUGCAUUCGAGACAUUAGCGAUCGUUAAAAUUUCAAUCAAACCGUUCGAAAGACUGAAAAUUCAAUUUUCAUUGUAUAAUUUCAAAUACAGAAUUUGAAUUUGAACAGUCCAAUCUAAACCAAACUGUCACUGGUUUUCAAAUGUGUGAAUGUAGGACUCGUGAAUGCAAGGACGUUGGUCCAUCUAUUAUUCUUUCAUGCAUUACGUGGUAGUUUUCGUUCUUGGAGUCUAGGUUAUGAAAAUAACGAAAUGAGAAAGAUAUUGACGAUAUAAAACAUGAUGUGAUAAUGGUGGAAAAAAACUCAAAAAAUAAGUGGCAGGAACAAAGUAAAGUGUAUUUUUUGAAUGUAUAAAUUAAAAUUAGUAAUAACAAAUGUUCAUUGGAUAUGUGAUGAUUGACAGCGUUUACUUACACACCGUUGUACAACGUAAUUGAGGUAAACCAACAAGGGUACAACACAUGUACAAUAGCAAACGCCGUUUCGACAUACAACUCUGGAGAAAUAGUGAUCCACCUCACUGAUAUUAGUUUGUGUGUUUUAAUCCAUAAUCAUGAUUAACAAACACUUAAUAGUUUAGUUUGUUACUUUUGGAUAAGCUUGAUUAGUUAGUUACAAGAGACUUACUCUCUAAGUCAUUGUAUAUAUAUAAUUGCUUGUAACUCAAUCAAAAUAAUGUGAAUACAACUUUUCAAUUCUCUCUCUCUCUCUCUCUCUCUCUCUCUCUCUCUCUCAAUAGCAUAACAAACUCAUCAUCACCUUAACCAAACUUCAUCUUCUCCAUUGAAACCCUAAUUUCAGUUUGCUUGCAAAUCAAGAAACCAAUUACUACGCUAAUAAUUGGCAUCUAGAGCUUGGGUUUUUCAUUCUGGGAAACACGAGAGACAUUGUGAGGGGUGAAUUUUCUGGGAAACACGAGUGAAGUGUGAAGAUUCAAAGGUUUCGUGCGAAGCAAUCAUGGCCAACAAUGGAGGUUUUGGUACAAAUAUACUGGUUCUUGAUGGGAAGAAUUGGGAAAGGUGGAGUGCAUUGAUGAGGUCACUAUUUGGCGCGCAAGAUGUUCUUGAAUUGGUUGAGAAUGGAUAUGAAGAUCUUGCUGCAAAUGCAACUGAAGUUCAAAGAGCUGCAUUCAGAGAAUAGAAGAAGAAAGAUUGCAAAGCUUUGUUCUACAUUCAACAAAAUGUAGAUUCUAAUCACUUUGAGAAGAUCUCAAAGAUAACAAGAUCCAAGGAGGCAUGGGAUAUCUUGGCAAAAUACUAUGAAGGUAGUGAUAAUGUGAAGCAAGUGAAGCUUCAGUCAUUGAGAAGAAAAUAUGAGUUGAUGAUGAUGGAAGAUGAUCAAAGGAUCAAUGAUUACAUUUCCAAACUGCAAUCUGUAGGGAACCGGAUGAAGGCAUGUGGAGAAGAAACGUCAGAUCAACAAGUUGUGGGUAAGAUAAUGAGAUCUCUCACAUCUAAAUUUGAUUUCAUAGUAGUUGUUAUACAAGAAUCCAAGGAUGUCAAAACUCUGAAGAUUGAGGAACUUCAAUCAUCACUUGAAGCACAUGAGAUGUUGGUGAUUGAAAGAAGUUCAGAAAGAAGUGCUCAACAAGCCUUGCAAGCUCAAACCAUCAACAAGGAUGGAUAUGACAAUAAUUCAAAGCAUAGAGGGAAAGAGAAGUGGAAGAAAGGAUAUUGGGGUAAGCCUGAUGAAAAAGGUGAAAAUUCAAAGUCUAGUGCAGCUUCUGGUAAUAAUCAGAACAAAAGAAAAGAUGUUGAUAAGAGAAAGAUUCGGCGUUACAACUGUGAGAAAUUUGGACACUAUGCUGAUGAAUGUUGGCACAAGAAAGAUGGAAAGAGAAAUCAUAAAGGUGAAGAAAAGGCAAACAUAACACAAGAUGGUUCAGAUUCUGAAGUAGUUUUGCUGAUGGCUACUACAUGUGAAGGAAAUCCAUUAUGUGAAGAUUGGUACCUUGAUUCAGGAUGGUCAAAUCAUAUGACUGGUCAUAGAGAAUGGUUGAUUAAUUUUGAUUCCUCAAGAAAAACAAAUGUUAGGCUUGCAGAUAACAGAAAUCUUGAGUCAGAAGAUAUUAGUGAUAUUGCCAUAAAAAUGAAAGAUGGAAGAAAUGCACUGUUAGAGAAGGUGCUACUUGUUCGAGGAAUGAAAUGUAAUCUAUUGAGUAUUGGGCAACUGAUUGAAAAGGGGGUUUUCAGUCACUAUGCAAGGCAACACCUUGAAUCUAUAUGACAAGCAAGACAAUUUGGUACUGAAGUCAAAAUUAACAAAGAGUAGAACUUUCUUGUGCAACAUUCAAAAUGCAAAAGAUGUGUGUAUGUCAGCAGCCUCUGAUGAAGAUUCAAACCGGUUAUGGCACAUGAGGUAUGGUCAUCUAAAUUUUAGGAGCUUAUCAUACUUGAGCACUAAGAAUUUAGUAUCUGGAUUACCAGUUUUAGAUGCAAAUAAGAAAACCUGUGAAACAUGCUUGAAGGGUAAACAAAGUAGGCUCCCAUUGGUGUCUGAAAAGCCUAAGAGGUCAAAAACUACUUUAGACGUCAUACACUCUGAUAUUUGUGGACCAUUUGAGGUACCUAUGUCAUACCCCAAUUUUUGACCCAAAAUUCCACUGACACGCGUCGUUUAACCCUGAUCAAUCACUAACACGUGUCGUUUAACUCUGAUUUUUUUUUUGUUCCGAGUCGGGCCCUCUUCUCUCAAUCUUUAAUCAAUUAGAACCACAAUAGGCACAAAAAACUCAGUUUCAACAGCACAUGUACAACACAAUUCUUCAAACGCCCAAUUCAUCAUUAAUCCAAACCCAAGCUGUCAAAAUCGUGACCCUUUCCAAACUAACACAAUAUCCGGCAAUCCGAAUCCAAACACCUCACCAACAAACCAAACAACAUCAGGGACCAAAGAUUGGAGUCGAACCUCACAACCAACACAAACGAUUCAAAGGACCCGAAUUGAAGCAUCAAACCAAACGGAAGGAGCAUUUGGAACCAUAACCGUGACACAACACGCAAACAAUGAGGCCGUCGGUUCAAUCCAGCCGCAAACGGCAUACUAUCAAACCGGAACAAAGAAAAAAGAAGAAAAGGUAAACUCUUAGAAUCUAGAGCUUAUUAAUUGUUUGUGAUAAUUUUGAGGUGAGGAGAGUGUAGGGUAGAAGAAAAAGAAACCAGAUCCAAAAAAAAAAAGAGGGGUUUUAACUGUCCGACACAUAGGAAGAGAGAGGGCAGAGCGUUUUCUAAGGAAAUGGAAGAGGAGAGAGAAAUGUUUGUUAAAAAUGAUAAAAAAAAAACCAGCCACAACAUAUAUAUAUUCGCCCCUUGAACCGAACCGGACCAAAACCGGUUCCCAUUUAGGCCCAGCGUGCCAGCCUUUCCUUAAGCCCAAUUCGUUUUUUUUUUAAUUUUUUUGCAUACCACUGCUUACUGCCUGCACCCCCAGCAUCAUUUUUUUUUUAUCGUUUUCAUGCAUUUAAAAUUUCCGUUGCAUAUUUUUUUUAUUUUCAGCAUUCACAUAUUUAUUUUUAUAUCUUAUUUUUUACUCGCAUUAAUUUAGAAUGUAAUUUAUUUAUUUUCGUUUUUUUUGCACAUAAUUUAGAAUGUAAAAAUAGGCUUUUAUGUAAUUUAUUAUAAAUGAGGUGGAAAAUUUAUUUUACACGUGGCAUCCAAAAAAAAUUGGAAAAAAAAAAUGCCACGUCAGUGACACAUCAAAGAAGGGCAAUAAUAUUUAUUUUACAAGGACGGAAUCUAAAAAAAAUUAUUAGGGAAAAAUCAAAAGUGCUCUAUAUUAUAGGGGUAAAGCUCUAUUAAUCCUUUAGUUUGUUACUUUUGGAUAAGCUUGAUUAGUUGGUUACAGGAGACUUACUCUCUAAGUCAUUGUAUAUAUAUAAUUGCUUGUAACUCAAUCAAAAUAAUGUGAAUACAACUUUUCAAUUCUCUCUCACUCUCUCAAUAGCAUAACAAACUCAUCAACCAAACUUCAUCUUCUCCAUUCAAACCCUAAUUUCAGUUUGCUUGCACAUCAAGAAACCAAUUGCUCCUUCGUUUGUGGCAGAAUGGGCCAUUGCCAACAAGGCCUGAAACUCAAAGUCAAAGUUCAAGCUCAGUCCAACAACACUGGAACUUCUCCUCCACCUAUUUCUCCACCAUGCCCUCAUUCUCCUCCUAGUCCACCUGAUGAUAAUGGCUCAACCAAAUGUAGAAGUGAAGCUGCUGGACCAAGUGUUGUUGAUCUAGAAUUCCAUGAUUCACUUUCUGAAGAUGCACU
rnacentral:lncRNA from 1 species